GGAUUUCACUGGCAUGGGGGUGAACGUGAGGUGGCCUUUGGCCGUAUGGCGCAUAGUCAAUGCGGAAUGCUGAUAUGCCAAGGGUGUUGAGUCCUGGAAUCUGCUCAACAUUUGCAUCUGUUUCAUCAACACCAAGUCGAUUUGCUGUGUUGCCAGGCUUGUCUAGCCCUGAGAAGAAGAAAUCUUCAGCUCUCGCAAGCUUGGGGUCCUUGCAGAACUUCCCGUUCACAAACACUACAAGAACACACACACAUACAGACACAAAGUGGGAAAAAAAUGAAUAAUUAAGUAGCAGCACAAAUUAUAUUGAAAAUUAUAUGUUUCAUCAGUUCAGCUUAUGUACCACCAUCCUUGGGGUCAUUGAUGGCUACAAAGAUAUCUUGAAGCGGGCUGGGGUCAGAGGCUGAGGCCAAAGAAGAAGCCAAAGCUAAGAGAGCAAAACCUAUAAGAAAUUGAAUUGCCUUCAUGGUGAUUAAUUAACAGGAUGUACCUAUCUCAAAACUUUAAUCAAGUGUUGUGAUUUGAGAAUCUUGGGAGGGAAACUAGACUAUUUAUAGAACGGAGUCCAUGAACGAGUUUGUGUGUUCAAUUAAUAGUCCUCGAAGCAGGUCAAGACUUGCUGAGUCCUCAGUGCUUAUCUUUGUAAUGUUUUGCGGUCCUCAUUUUCGUUUUUCUUUUUAAAAUUUACGUGUAGAACUUGUUCGGUGGUACACAUCUUAAAUAUAAAUAGCAAACAUACGAAACAAAGUCUGGCUGAUAGUGAUAAAAUCCAAAACAGGUUAGACACGUUUGCGCCAAUCUUCAAAACGAACCGUAAAAUAUAAUAAGAAACAAUAUUUUACGCAUUUUCCAAAGCAUAAUUAAAAUAUAAUUUUUUUCAUUGGAAAGAAACGAAUUGAAGAAUUUAUGAAAAUGGGUGAGAAAGAAAUUCAUGUCUCUGGCAAGCAGACUAGCAGUUGGACGUCGUGUUCUGUAGAUAUCGAUGUUACCGGACUUGUUUGGUUUGUUGUUGGGCUUAAUGAAGAAGCAUUAUUAGCCUUUUUUCCUUUUUCAUAGCAAUUUUCGUAGCUGCUUUAACCAUUUUUAGUUCUAUAAAUGCUUUACGAAGUCAAUGAUGCACAUGUUUUUUUCAUUACGUGUUAAAGUCACAGAUCAUCUGCUUCAAAACGUUAAGACUAGGAUCAGGAGGAACCAAAUUCUUCCAUCUUAUUUUCAGCGGUCACGUUAAUUAGAGCCUGGAGUCGGCACGUUUCGUUAGUGAUAUCCUUUUACAAUGUCAAUUGAUAUAUAUCAUUUCAACUUUAAAAGCUAAUUUUAAUAUUGAAUAAUUUUUUUUAAAAAUCCCUUUUAGUAAAAUCAUGUAGAUUUUGAAAAGUAAAAAAAGAGUAGUUUUUUAAAAUUUUAUUUUGAUAAACACUUUUAUACUUAAUACAAUUUCAUAUAUAUCCUUAUAUAUAAGAGAAAAAUCCAAAAUCAUCCUUAUUAAUUAAAAAUAAAAUUAUUAAUUUGAAAGAGAUUAUUAUUAUUAUUACCAAUUAUAUUGAGAUAACAAAAUAAAAAUAAAAUUAAUAAUAUAAAACAUUUAUUUUAGUUAUCAAUUAUUAUAUAGACACAACUAAAAAUAUUUUAUUUAUAUGUUUAUAAAUGUGUAAAUAAAUUUUAUUCAACAAAUUUUCUCUUCAAUCAUUUACAUUCUUACAUCAUUUUAAUAGUAAGAUUUACCAAAUAAAUACGACUACUUUUAGAACUCACAACAUUGUAGCAAAUGGCUAACCAAUUGUUGAAAACGACAAACUAAUAAUUUCCAGAAAGCAUGUUCUACAAAGGGUUGUUAAAAUGAUGAUUCUGAAAAAUAACGAUGAAUCGUUUACUGAAAACGGUGAUUCGAUAAUUUUUAGAUUGUAACUGUGAGCCAUUUAACAAGAACGGAUAGCCAAAAUUUGUUUUGCAAGUCUUUGGAAAUAAACAGCUAACCGAUAACUUCAAACGGUGAACCGAUUAUUUAAAAUCUUAGCUUAACGGUCAUUUGGACUAGUCAAAAUGGUUAGCCGAUAGCAGUUAACGACGAUCCGAUUUCUCCCAGAAAGUCAACAACGGCUUGUUUUCAGCUUCAACUAUAAAAUGACUCAAUCAAAUUCAAAUGAGAGGUGAUCCAAGAGUUAUCAUUGAGCUUGCAACUGAGAAUACAACCUUUAUUGAGCCUUAAACUUAUUCUUGUUUCAUUUAUUCACACUUUGAGAUUUCAUUUGUAAUCAUAUAUAUUGUGUGAGUGAAAAUUUAUUUGUAAUAUUCUUUACUUUGAGUCAUUGUAAGUGUUGGGAUAGACUUGAAUUAAGAGAUUGGGGAUAAUCUCUUAGUGUAAAGGUUUAUUGACACAUUUAAAGUCAAUUGUAAGUGUUCUUGAAGCCUUGGAGGCUUGAUUAGUGGAAUCCUCAAAGCCGACGAGCUUGGAUGCGUGGACGUGGGCAGGGUUGGCCGAACCACGUAAAAAUCUCUGUGUUUGAUUUUCUCUUCCCUUAUCUUUUUUAAUUUUGUGCUUUGAUUGAUUUUAUUAUUAUUGUGUGGUUUUGUUUGUUUAAAGUUUUAGAAACCCAAUUCACCCCCCCCCCCUCUUGGGUUGCCUAACUAGUAUUUCAAACAAAACAAAAACUUGCAAACAUAACAUAAAACUAGUAAAUCAACACUAACUAUAUAUAUAUAUAUAUAUAUAUAUUGGAAAUGAAACAUAAGACUUGUAAAAAGAAUGUAAAAUAUAUAAAUUACUAUAAAAUAGUAAAUUGAUGUAUUAUUGGUAAAUAAAAUGAAAACUUAUAAAUAUAACGUAAAACAAGUAAAUCAACAUUAAAUGUAAAAUAAAACAUAUAGUUUGUACAUUAUGCCUAAAACUUAUGAAUAAAAGGCAAAAUAAGUAAAUUAAUAUAAGAGUUACUGCAAAAAAAAAAAAUCACAAUUGUAAAAUAAAACUCGUUAGAAUGUUUAUUAUCUUAUAUAUUUAUUGAUUUUUUAAUUUAAAUUGAGUAAUGUUAGUUUUGCAAUUAUGUAAUACAUGUGUUGUUUUAUUAAGUAUGAAAUUUAUUAGGGGUGUUUGCGGAUCAGAUUUUACGGAUUUGACAUCAAUCCAUAUCUUAUCCAUGAUUUUAUAGAUUAUAAAUUUUCAAUCCAAUCCAAUUCACGAAUUGGUGAAAUUUAAUCCAAAUUCAAUCAAUACGUCUGCAGAUUAGGUAUGGAUUUGACCCAAUCUAUAUUUAAUCCCCUAUUUUGCGGAUUGGUUUGCAGAUUGAAAAUUUUUAAUUCUGUCCAAUCCACGAACUAACUAAAUAAAAAAUCAAUAUAAAAAUAAUUUUACUACUGGUCAAAUUUAAAAUUAAAUAAGAUUAAAAUAUAUUUAUUGUUUAAAUAAAGCUAAAAAAAAAUUUAAACUUUCAAAAUAUAACACACCAAAAAGAAAAUAAAAAUCAUUUGUUUAGAUCAGUACAUGAAAAAUAACUGUUUAGGAAACUAUAUUUGUUUGUUUAAUUAUUUUUUAUUUUAUAUAUUAUCGGAUAAGAUAUAAUAUAGUGUUAAUGUAACUAUAUUUCAACUUAUUUAUUUACUAGUAAGUACUAAUGCUAUAUUUACAAGUUUUAUUUUUUAAUUAAAUAAAUACUUUUAUUUUUUUACUGAUUCACAUAUUUUUGCGGAUUUACAGAAGUAAAUUCAUAUCCAAUCCACCAAUUGCGGAUUAUCAAAUUUUCAAUUCAAUCCAAUUCAAUCCAUCAAUCUACAGAUCGGAUUUUUACCUAUCGGACAAAUUGAGUGGAUCAUAUUGGAUUCUGAACACCCCCAAAAUUUAUGAUCAAAAUCGAAUUUUGAAAAAAAUUAUUAUUUUAAUAUUUUUCAUAGUUGUUGUAAAAUGAGGUUAUUUUGCAUCUUUCUACACUUCCUCUAGAACAAUCCUAAAUGGUCUUCAAAUACAAGUAAAAAGUUUGAAAUAACAUAAAGUAUGUAUAAUACUCCAAAUUAGAUCUAAUUUUAUUGAUAAAUCAUAUGUAUGUCUAAAAAUAUAAGAAUAUUUUUUUAUUUUGUUUUUACUUGAUCCACAUCAAGAUAAAUAAUUGCGUUUAAUUAACAUGUGUAAUAAAUGGAUAUCGUUAUAGAAGAUGGGGAAAAAAAGUACAAUAAUGCUACAUAUCCCAAAUAUUAAUCCCAAAACUCAUCCCAAGUGAUGUGGCAGCUGACAUGGCAUCCAACUUAUAAAUUUAUUCUAAAUUAAAAUAGACCCCUCUAAAAUACUUUAUUUUAAAGUAAAUCCCUUUUACAACUAAAAGUCUUUUGCUCUAUCGUUUUUGGCCUGGCUGCAAACUGAACGAACAGAGACGAAUAGAGAGAGUAAGUUCAGGGAGAGCAAAGUUUUCGGUUUCUUCUCACUCAUGACAAGUUCGUUCUUUUACCAAACUAUUUUACUAGCACUCAACAAUAUCAUGUAUUUAUUGAUUCCUUUUUGUUUAUUUUUUUAUUAUUUAUCAUGUAUUUACAUUAUUUUUUUGUGAUUGAGAUAGCAUAUUUUGGUCAAAAGAAUAAGAGGACUGAUGGCGGUGUAUAGAUCUGGUAAAAGAUGGUUGUAUUCGAUGGUAUCAUCUCAUCGCUUUCCAAUCUGCUUGGUUAGUCUGUGGCCUUUUGUAUUAUUGCUUUUGUUUUCUAAUUGAUUUUGAUUUUCCUUCCUAAAUACAAAUAAUAAGAAUAAAGAUUUCAUUUUUCGGUUGCUAGAUUUUGUAUUGAAUAAUUUUCUUCCUCUUUAUCAAGUAACUAAAAAGUUUUUAAUUUUUGUGUUUUACACAUAUUACACUUAAAACGUCUUUACUUUUAUUGCAUUAUGCUCUUGUUCAUUUAUUUUGUGUUAAAUAAUCAUGUGUAUUGUAUAAUUUCUCCACUUUUUUUUUUUAUUUAAUGCUAUAAUUUAAUCUAGGUCAUGUUGAAGAUCACUUUUUUUAUUUUGUUUCACCCUGAUUGCUCCAGUGGUUCAGCUUGCGUGUUUUGGAGAAAAAAUUGUCCAGUUAUCGGCAUUAGUUUUUAAUGCCAAAUUGCAGUUCAUAGAGUAGACAGUGAGGAGGUUGCACAAGCUGAAGUGCUCUUUGUGCUAGAAUGGGCAAGAAAGCAGAGUUAUAUGACAGAAAGUUAAUAGAUUUCGUCCAGUGAUUAUUCAUAUUCAAUAGUUAGUAGCAAUUAACAUAGGGAAGAAAAUAAAUUAACAUUGUAAUUUAUUUCAAUGAAACCCAAGAGAAAGGUUUCUUCUGUAAACUCAAUAUGUACUGAAAAUUAAUCUACACUUAAUUAGCUUUGCCAUUCGAAGAGAAAUUUUUCAGCAAUAUUCAUUCGCAUUAUUAUAAAAAAUUGAAGAUGUACUUCAGUCCUAACUAAAAUGUUCACUCUUUUUUUUCUUUUAAAGGAAAAUUCAUUAACUAUAAGAACAUAAAAUCACAAAGACAUAACAUCUGGAUUGUAUUGUUACUAUAAAAUUGCAAUAGCUCAACCUAUAAUCAUCCAUGCAAUUAAAAAUCCAUAAUUCAUCAUAAAUUUCAGAGCAAAAACUGAACCGUGAAAGUAAUUUAACAAUAAUCUAACAUUAUUGUUUGAUAACAUAAUGUUUUCAAAUAAUUCUUGUACUCCAUCUUUUUAUGUUUGGCUUCUUGCUAGAUACUUCAAUCUCUUUACAACUCUCGAGUGACCUGCAUACGUUACAAAGGAUUAGUUAAAAAGAAAAAGCUAAAGAUUUGUAACUAUGAGAAAAGAUAUUAUUUAUUUAUCUAUGUAGUACCCUAAAUAUAAAAAAAAUGACAUCAACCUAAUGACAAUAAGAAUAACAUACUCCUCAUAAUUAUAUACCAAGCAAAAAGAAUAAAAACACAUUACCUGCAUUGGAUUAUCAGAAGUAACCAUUGCAUGAGUGGUGUUGUUCUCCAAUCCAUAUCUUUGUGUUUCACUACUUAUCAUUUGAGAUCCCUUGAAUAAAAUAAUAUGUAGGAAUUAUAAGUAAUGUAUAAUAAAAUAUUUGAUAAGCAUUUUGGAUAAAAUUUAUUAAUUUCAUACCUUGGUCGUUUUCUUUUGCUUUUUUCUCUGAAUAAUUUGCUCGACCUUAGACUGCCUUCGUUUGUAAGGUGGAGGACCUUUACUUCUAACUGCUAGUGGAGAAAGAAUUUUACCAUUAUGACUGCCACGAACCUCCCCAUAUUUUGUUGUGCCAUGAGCUAUAUUACUUCCACGUUGACUAAUUUCACCCCCACCUCCAUUUAGCAUUAGUUUUGCUUUCAAAUAAUCUAAUACCUCCAACACCAUAUUGCAAUUAUUCUCAUUAUUAGUCGCUAGUUCAGCUACAUCAUAAAAAAAGUUGCACAUCUUAUCAAAUCUAAGUCCUUCAGGUUUUAUGCUCCAAUUGUCAUUACUUACUUUCACCUCAGUGUGACAUCUUUUUAUAUCCUUUCUCCAUCGCCUCAAAAUAUACUGUUCUGGAAUAGAAAAUAUUUCUUUAUGAAUAAGCACUGCAAUGAUGUGUCAACAUAAUAUUCCCUUAAACUCAAAUAGUCGACACUUACAAUUAAUCUCACAAUUAACCUCAUUAAAAGAAACUUCAAAAGGGUCACGACGAUGAUUCUCUCCAAUUUUAACAUCUUCAACUACUACAAACUUUGAAGUUAAAAUAUUUGUUUGACAUGAAAAUAUCUCACAAAAGAUUUUUCCUUUUAACUCUUGCUGAAAUUCUCUGAAUUUUUCCAUUGUAUAAGUAUCUCGGAAUUGCUGCUCCAUGGCAUAAUGAGUAACACAAGGGAUAUUAGAAUUCAAAUCAUUAAAAUCGGCAUGAUUUUCUUUUUCCACCUUGUCCCGUAGUGCAUUUCCAUAUUGUUCAACAAAUUAUUUUAGAGGAGUUUUUGAAUUUACAUACCCAUCAAAGAAUGCAUGCAUACUCUCACUGCGUUGUGUUGUAGACAUUCCUGCCCAAAAUAUAUCCUUCACAUAUGCUGGAACCCAAUAUUGCCUCUCAUCAUACAAGUUUUGCAACCAUUCAUUGUUAUUAAGAUUAUAUUUUUCAAUGAACACCAUCCAACGUUCAUCAAAAUCAGAAGGUAUUAAAUAAUCAUAAACAAUAUUCUGCAUAGUCAACUUGAUCACUUCAUAUUUCUUGUAACCUUUCAAUUUUUCUGGAAACUUUUUCAUUAUAUGCCACAAACACCACCUAUGUUGCGCAUGCGGAAAGACAACUUCAAUCGCCUUUUGCAUGGCCUUAUCUUGAUAAGUGAUUAUGGCAUUUGGAGCACAACCAGACAUACAUUUAAGCCAAGAUCGAAAAAGCCAUACAUAUGUGUCAAUGUCCUCGUUAGAAAUCAAACCACAUCCUAAUAAUGUUGAUUGUCCAUGAUGAUUGACCCCAACAAAAGCAGCAAAUGGUAUAUCAUAUUUAUUUGUUAGAUAGGUUGAGUCAAAUGUAAUAACAUCACCAAAUUCUUUAUUCACUGCUCUACUUCUUGCAUCAGCCCAAAAUAAAUUUUUCAACCGAGCAUCUUCAUCUAAAUCCACCAUAUAAAAAAAAUUGGAGUUUCCAUUUUGCAUUUUUAAGAAAUAAUCAAGAACUGCAGAAGCAUCACCAUCCCCAAGCCGUAAGCGCCUUACUUUGUGUAAAUGAUUCCUACAAUCUUUUUCUAGGAAAGUUAAAUUCUCAUGUCCUCCUGCUUCAACCACCAAAGAAUUAAAGCUUUUAUUCGGUCUUAUUCCUGCUUGAUCAUUCAAAUCCAACUUUCUUUGAACAAACAACUUCAUUACCCUGUUGGUUUUCAGAAAACGAGCCUUACUUGGUGUGUUUAACUCAUGAUUAUGCUCAUAUGUAAUGGAUUUGACCUCCCACUUUCUGUCCAAGCAUGUUGUUGCCCUUACUUUAGCCUUACAAUUUGUUUUGGAUGUUGGUUGUAAUUUAAAAGGCUGGUUCGAUAAAGAUUUUGCCUUGCUGCUGCGUGAACAUGAAAAUGUCACAUAUUUUAACUCUCCAUCGUCUCCUUUGCUAGAGGUUCUUUUAAUAAUUUCGAAUCCCAUUAUCUUCGCAUACAUCUUGUAGAACUCAAACAAAUUUUGAGUUGUAUCAAAAACCAUGCCAAUUUUUGGCUCAAUAAUUUCUUCUGCAUUUGGUUCAUUACUUAUAUCGUUCUCGUCAUCAACCUGAUUUAAAUAAAGCAAAAAUAUCCAACUAAUUAAAAUCAUCGUCAAUUAAUACAAAUUAGAAACAUAUUAAUACAAGGUAUAAAAAAAUAAGAAUAAAAAUUAAAAAAUUCACCUCAUCAGUAAUGAUUUCUAGGGAGUUUUCUAUUUCUUUUGACUCCAAAUCCGUCAUCUCAACUGAAGGUUUUGUUCUUCCUAAAGUUCUUGUCUCUGUUCAUUCAGUUUGCAGCCAAGCAAUUCAAAUUCCAUCAAUUCAUUUUUUCUUUUCAAGAAGUGCAGAUUGUUGAGUGCUAAUAAAAUAGUUUGGUAGGAAUUACAAACCUGUCAUGAGUGAGAAGACUUUGUUCUCCCUGAACUUUCUCUCUAAUUUGCAGCCAAGCCAAAAUACGAUAGGACAAACCUGUUCAAUUUGCAGCCAGACCAAAUUUGCAGCCAGGUCGAAAACGAUAGGGCAAAAGACUUUUAGUUGUAAAAGGGAUUUACUUUAAAAUAAAGUAUUUUAGAGGGGUCUAUUUUAAUUUAGAAUAAAUUUAUAAGUUUGAUGCCAUAUCAGCUGCCACAUCACUUGGGAUGAGUUUUGAGAUUAAUAUUUGAGAUAUGUAGCAUUAUUGAAAAAAGUAUACAAAUUUCCUAUAAUAAAUCUAGAAUUUAUGGUAACUAAUUCAAUAAAACUUAUUCCACUCCUACCCCCAACACUCCCCCACCUCCCUCAAAUUCGAACAGCUCAUCCUGACCCUCGCCCACCACAAACGCUACCAGUCCAUGUGGAAGACCAUCGAACUCAUGAAACCCUACAACCUCUCCGUCUCUCCUCAAACUCUAAUACUGUUGAGGUUUUUAAUAAGUGUACCGCUUUCAAUUGUCAGCAGUGUGUUCUUUUGUAUAAUUCAUUGCUGUUUGCUUUGUGUGAAGUCAAGUUGUUUUAUGGUGCUUAUGGUUUGAUUAGGAGGAUGAUUAGAAAAGGGUUUGUCCCUGACAAGUGGACGUACGCGAUUCUUGUUAAUGCUUGGUGUUCUUCUGGGAAAAUGAGCGAGGCACGAGUUUUUGCAGGAGAUGAGUGAUAAAGGGUUCAACCCGCCUGUUCGAGGUCGUGAUUUGUUGGUUCAAGGGUUGUUGAAUGCCGGUUAUUUAGAGUCUGCUAAACAGAUGGUUAAUAAAAUGAUUAAACAAGGGUCUGAUCCGGAUUUGGAAACCUUUAAUUCGUUGAUUGAGACGAUAUGUAAAUCCGGGGAGGUUGAGUUUUGUGUUGAGAUGUAUUAUAGUGUAUGUAAGUUAGGUUCGUGCGCUGAUGUGAGUACGUAUAAGAUUUUGAUUCCAGCAGUUUCAAAGGCGGGUAUGAUUGAUGAGGCUUUUAGAUUGCUGCAUAAUUUGGUUGAGGAUGGUCACAACCCAUUCCCAAGCUUGUAUGCUCCUAUUAUUAAAGGGGCUUUUAGGAGGGGCCAGUUUGAUGAUGCAUUUUGUUUCUUUAGUGAGAUCAAGAUUAAGGGGCAUCCUCCAAAUAGGCCGGUUUAUACAACGUUGAUAACAAUGUGUGGGCGCGGGGGAAGAUUUGUUGAGGCGGCAAAUUAUUUGAUGGAAAUGACUGAGAUGGGGUUGACUCCAAUUUCCAGGUGCUUUGAUUUGGUUACUGAUGGGCUGAAGAAUUGUGGGAAGCAUGAUUUGGCUGAGAAGAUAGAGCAGUUAGAGGUAUCCCUUCGGUCUGUUUGAUGCAUGUCAAUUAGCAGUUGAAGACGAUUCUUUAAAAGAAUUUGCAUGAAUCGAAAAGAAUGCUUUUAGAUCUCCGCGUUUCCACUCCAGAAUGAUGUGAGUUCUUCAUAUGAGAAGUUAGCUACUUGUUGAAUUUCAGGUUCCAUUUGUUUUUGGCACGUCAGUAUUGUUAAUAAAUUCUUGUUAAUAUGUUUGUCAAGUUGUUCAAUUUAUUUAGUAUUACAGCAUCCCGUAGAUUGUUGCCUUUUUUCCAUGAAAUAUUUGUUCAAUUUAUUUAGUACUUUAGUCUCAAUGAAGCAUGUUGGGGAAUUAAUGUAGAAAUAGGGGUCUUGGUUGUUUUUUCAAUUAUGUGGAUGAAGCUUUGACUUAGGAACCACUACUGUAGUCUAAAGAAUAUCGUUUUCUUCUAUAUCGAUGUGAUUAACUGGGUGAUUUUUGUCAAAGGUGUUUGAAAGUUUUCUGUUGCUGAAAUCUUUCGGUUUAUUUGUUGCAUGAAGCAUGUUGGCGAAUCAAUGUAGAAACAGGAAUCUUGAUUCUUUCUUUAAUUAUGUGGAUGAAGCUUUGAUCUAGGAACUUCUUCUCUAGUCUUAAUAAUAUUAUCUUCUUCUAUAUGGUUAUGAUUAACUGGGUGAUCUUUGUCAAAGGUGUCUGAAAGUUUUCUGUUUCUGAAAUCUUUCGGUUUUAUUUGUUGCAGAUGACAACCUCUAUUUAUUCCUAUGCCCAAACAUGAAACAACUUCGGGUAGUUAGGAAAAAUAUUUUUGUGAGACUAAAAUCCAUAAAUAUAUGGAGCAUCACCUCUGUAUUUGGAGAGCCGUGAGAGAUCAACUAGUCAGAGGUUAAAAGGGUUUGGGAUCCUGUUACAAUGUUUUUAGGUUUUGUUUGGGAAAUUGUGCAGUUUCAACUUGGUUAUUUAGCUUUGCUUCUUCGGUUAUCUGCUACUCUGUGUACGUGGGUUGCUUAUUUAUAAGCACUUCUCAUUGCUUCAUUUCUAAUAUAGAAUGAACCCAAAAUUAUGUAUGAUAGAACCAAUGUUACAAAGAUAGUUCUGGCCUGUUUUGGAGAGGUGGUGCCAAUUUUAGUUCUUAUUUUAUUUGCUUACAAUGAUUUUUGGACUUCUGUUUUAUGGGAGAAAUCCACAAAGGCAGUCUUUUGAAACAGCAAUUGCAUACUCGUGGCGUGAAUGCAGUGACGUCUCUUCAGUAUUUUCACAUCUUUUUAUGCCAUAACCGAGAAAGAGCUUACUGGACCGAAGACCAUGGUGUCGCUCAAAUAUUGUCUUAGAAUUCCUACUAUUGACUUGUAUAUAAACCCACUUUUGGCUGGUGAAGAGUUAAAAGGAGAAUGUACUAGACUCGCAUAUAAAUUAUAAAUUAUAAGCUUUGUCGGAAUCUACGUUCUUUUGGCUUUUGGUCGUUUUCCACCCCAGCACGCCGUUAUUUAUUUUUAAGAAACAAUGGUCACUGUGAUUGUUGUCUUUUCUGGCUUUGUCUAGUGUUUUUCAGAGUAAUAAAUAGUUUGAUUGAUGGACUGUUGGACUGUUGGACUUGGUAUUGGAAUUUGGAUUGACGCGGGAUUAGGAUUCUCUCGUGACGCAAAGGCUGUUGGCUCGGAGAAAUGAUUACUUUGAACAUUUUUCGCAUGCAUGCAUUCUAUGAUUUUUCAUUUGCUUGACUUUGUUGUUCAUCCAAAUGAAAUCAAAUACUCAUUUGGUAUGAUAGAAUCAAUGGGCAAUCAUUUUUAUGUUAAGCUUAAAAAAUAGGUUAUCUUUGCAUAACUAUAUUUUUAUAGUUUCUGUUUCUGUGCUUUGUGCUUUCAACUACCGAUGAUGAACCGCCUACUACUUCAUAACAAUGUAUGUUAUACUGACAAUAUUUUCCGUGGCUCCUUUCAUUUAUUUAUUUAUUUAUUAAAAUUGAUAUUUUUUUUAUCUUUUCGUUUUCGACAAGGAAGGUAAUUGAGAUGUUUAACGAAGGGAUGAUGUUUUCCUUUAAAAGAAUAAAUAAAUAAAUAAAAGACAAAAUUUUAUGCCAUGGGGACAAAAUGCCACAUGAGGAGAAAUGCACGCCACUAAAUUUGGGAUAAUAAUUUAAUUUGAAUUGACAUCUAAAACAGUUGUAGGCUAACCAAUAUUUCUACAAAAAAAAAAAAAAAAAAUUCAGAGUUAUUGGUAGCGUUUUGUCUUUAAUUUUCUGAACUCUGCGCAGCUGGUGUAAUAGUCUUUGUUGCUCUUCUCUUUGCGGCUAAGGAGCCUAGAGAGAUGGAGUGAAGCUGAGCACGAACUAGGAAAGUGGAAAUGUUGAGCGUUAACAUACGUUGUGGGUGAUUUGGUACUCUCACUCCUUAAAAGAGAUCAGAUGUUUAAAUCUCGUUCUCGUAUGAAGUCACCACUUGGACCAGCACUAUACCCUUUACGGACCGAUCCGGUGCGAGCGGAGAUUAGUAUGGGUUGUGGUACAGGCUUAAAAGUGCCUCCAUAAUUGAGACCCACUCAGGACCACCUUGUAGUUCAAAAAAAAAAAAAAUACGACUACAAUCUAUAUCUCAUGGUCCCAAAACAUCCUACCAAUCAAUGCAAUUAUCAAAAAUGAGAUUCACACCACAUUCAGCACUACAAAUAGCACCGAACGGUGCAUUUUGAGGUAACUAUAAAUCACCACUGAAUCGACAAUUGCAACAUACACUGUUCACAACACGCUCUUUCGCUCUCUCCAUCACACACCGCAAAUCUCACCAAGCCACCAAUAUCACCACGCUCCGUUCUUCCUCGGCAGGCUCCGUUCUUACCGUCGGCUCUCGCUCUCUCUCUCCCCUUCAAAUCCAGCAGCGUGGGUCACUUUCUCUCUCUCCCCUCCAAGUCCACUAGUCGUGGGCACUCUCUCUCUCCCUUCCAAGUCCACUAGUCGUGGGUCACUCUCUCUUCCCACUAAAUCUAGCAACCGCAGGUCACUCUCUCUGUCUCCCCUCCAAAAUCCAGCAGCGUGGGUCACACUCUCUCUCCCCCUCCAAACCCAACGGCCGUGAGUCACUCUCUCCCUCCUUCAAAUCCAGCAGCCAGGGUCACUCUUUUUUCCUCCGAAAUCCACAGCAGCCGUGGGUCACAGCUGCCAUUGUGUCGUUGUCGACAGCUGUCGUAAUCGACUUCUGAAGGUAAUUUGCUUCCUUAGAAUAUCCUUAUUUUAAUAAUUUACUAGUUAGAAACUUAAAGUAUAACCAGGUAUUUUCCUACACUAAUUUUUUAUGCACCAGUGUAAAUAGCUAUCUCAAUUCUGUAUUCUGAGUAAAAUGCUGGAUCUAAGAUAUUAUUUGCUUUUGUGGUGAAAAUUUGGCUGCCAGAAGAAGCAACAAUCAUUAAACUUAAUGAGCCAAUGUCAUUGACUUUUGCUCUGAGAUACAUGAAUUCAUUCACAAGGGCUACACCAUUGUCGAAUACUGUUACUACCAGCCUGUCUUCAGAACUGCCUGUUGUGGUCGAGUAAAAGAUUGCUGAGAUGGGUUAUAUUAGAUUCUACUUGGCUCCCAAUACAGAAGAAGAUGAGGAUGAGACCAAGCCUCUAGCUUAAGUGUCAUUUGGCACAUAGGCUAUGGCAUUUUUUUGAAUCAAAUUACUCCUAUAUUUUAAGUUUGCUUUUAGAAUAUUUCUCGUAAAUUUUCAUGUUGAAAAACCAAGCAUUUAGUUCAGUAGAUUGAUAAAAAUUCAUUUCUUGUGCUUGCCUUUUUUAUCUUAGUACUGUUCUACAUGUAAUUGAUUCAUUUGGCUUUGUUGCUUUGAAAUGUAGGCUUUAAUUGAGUUGAAAUUUUCAGAAAUUUAUCAAAAAUGAACCAUAAACAAAAACUUCAGAUUGUUUGCUUAUUAUAACAAUGGCAAAGUUAUAGAAGAUAGCAUUAUAUUGGGUGACAAAAUGUUCUUAUGGAUGAUCCUGAUUAAAUUGUGUAUUUCACAAUGUAAUUACUUGUUGAUCAAUUUAAUUGAAUUGAUUAACACAUUGGUUUGAGUUUUAAUACUACUGCUCAGUUUUUGGGUUAAUCGAAGAUUGCAAUUUUGCAGGAACUGGUAAAUUGGACACGAUAACAAAAAACUCUCACGUAUUACCGAAAUGAUAGCUGUGAUACUUCAGCCCUUAUGAAUAGUACACAAUGGUUGCAAGCAAAUUAAUUAAUUCAUAACUUGUAAAUAAAUAAACCCAAAAAAAAAAUUAAAUGAUGGAUAAUAUGAAGGAAUCAAAUCCAGAUUUUUCCUGCAACAAACUUCCCGGAAACAAAAUUUGGUGAUAUUCCUCAAACUGAGAACACAACCUAGUGCUAUUUCCUUUGUUUGAGGUUUCUUUGUUUUUCAACAUUGAUCUAGCUAUCUUGUUGCUUUUGUUAAUGUGGACAAAACAAAUUAAUAGUGUUUAAAUUAAUUCCUACAUAUGUAUUGGCGAAAAUCAUUUGCUCUGUUUCUUGGCUUCAUUGUAGAGGACGACCCCAAUUAUGGUGAGAGUCCAGCCAGACAUCCCAGUUAUAGAUACCGGAUUUCUGAAUAUAUGAAUUGAUACAACCACUGCAAUAGCUCCUUUUGCAGUUCCAAGAACCUGAAAGCCAAACGCACUUGGUAUGUCUUAAAAUGAUGUACUUGAUUGAACUAAAUUCACAAAAAUAUUACUUAAAGAGUUAAGGCAUUGGCGUUCUUAGUGACCAAAAAAUUGGUCAAAAUGACAAAAUAUGCAAGGAAUUGAAGAUCAGAUACCAUAAGAACUCCACAUCUUGUUUAGCAAGUGCAAUUGUGAUUCCAACUACAACGUUUUCCAUUAUUAGUACAGCAGGAAGAAGGGACAUAGCAGCUACUGGAGCCAUGUCCAUGAGAAGGUUCAUAGAAUUAAACGUUUCUUUGAGACAUCAACCAAAGUACAGAAUAGGUAACAAAAGUACAAGUGAAAAAUGUUCAGAUUUCAAGUAGGUAAGCUCAAAGAAAUCUGAUAUACUUUAGAGGAGAGCAAAAUCCUUUGUAGGACUGUCUGAAGUGCCCAAGCUGGGAUGUCUGGCUAUAAGUCUUACCCCACUGGCAAUAAUAACGCCAGUAACAACAGGAAUAAAGGUCACAUAAGUAAGCCAGCCCUCCCUCUUGAGGGUCAUCAAAUGAGCAAAAACCGCUGUGAAAAACGGCGUUGUAGCCCACACAGCCUGAUUAAACAACACUGGGAGAGUGAAGCUGCUAGUCAAAUUUUUGAGACAGCUGAGAGAGUGAGGUGUCAUGAGAGAUGCAAUUGACGGAGAAGAGAGAGAGGAAGCCGAUGGUGAGAAUGGUGUGGAAGAGUGGAGCAUGGUGAGAUUGGUGGCUUCGUGAGAUUUGUGGUGCGAGGGAGAGAGGGACAGAGCGUGUGUGUUAUGAACGGUGCGUGUGUGUUGUAAUUGUCAAUCCACAGUGACAAUUUAUACUUACCUUAAAACACGCUGUACGGCGCCAUCUGUGGUGCUAAAUGUUGUGUGAAUAUCGUUAUUAAUGUAAUUAUAGUUACCAAGCCUAAAAAAUUAUUGCUUUUGCUUAGUCACGGCUGGUUGUAAGUUAUUCUCUAUACAAAAAUAUGCAAAAAGUAGUUACAGGACGGUGGACCCACUUAAUUUUUAUAUGGACGGUAAGUAACACAAAUUAUAAUUUAGCAAAACUAAAAAAUUAUAGGAAAGAAAGAAUUUUUUUUUUUUUUUUUAGCUAAAUGAUUAGAAUACAUUUACUCAUAAUUACCAAAGCAGAAAUUAAGUGAUAAUUAAGGGCUGGUGAAACAUUUAAUUUCAAACCACUAAAUUUGAGAGCUACAACAAUAAGAGAAGUUAAGUAACAAUUAAGUGCUUAUAAACGAUAACUUUUACUAUAGGUAAAGGACUUAUGUAUUCAAUAACUAACCAAGAGCUCAAGGUCAUCUCAUAUGAAUAACGCUGUUGUGUGAGAGGGAUUAUAAUUGCGUGAGAAAUGACCCCUGAUGAAUUUGGACAACCAGUAGAAAUUAGAAUUUAAAUUUUUUUUAUUUUUAAUUUUUUCCAAUAUUUCAAUGUUAUUCUCAGACAUUUAAUUAAACUUAAAUAAAUCUUAAGAACAUAUAAAAACAUGUUUUUGUAAUAGGCCUAAAACGAAACUUUAGAAAAUACAUUUUUAUGUUAAUUUCUUUUAAUUAUUUAUCUGUUACAUACAAAUAUGAUAUGAAUGUGAGAUAAACUCUUUCAUAAAUUUUGUGUUUGACAAGACCAAACCAAAACUUUCACGAAAUAAAUAAUUAAUUAGUUAAUCCAAAACUACUCUGGUUAAUGUGUUACAUGUAGAAUGUGUUUGAAUAAAUUAAUUUAUAAUAAUUUUAAACAAAAUAAAUUUAGUCUAUUUAUAUUUCACUCGUAAAUGGGAGUUCUUUUCACUCUUCGGCUUCUAGACUCUUGCAAUUUAGGGUUAUCACUAUUACUACUACUACUACUACUACUACUACUACUACUACUAUUAUUAUUAUUAUUAUUAUUAUUAUUAUUAUUAUUAUUAUUGUUCUUGGUCAUAAUUUUAAAAUUUGUUGGGAAAUCUAUGGAAUUAUAUAUCAAACAUCUAAAUUAAUAAUAUGUAUGAAAUAAAUUGCAUCCCACACAAAUAUAAAUAAUAAUUUUACUUGAAUUAAACACACAAAUCCUAUAUUAUAAUAUUAGGCGUAAGAAAACUUACACACUCGACCAUUUUAUUAUAAUUUGGACUUACUGAAGUAUACUAUUCACUCAGAUUUAUCAACCAUAUAUAAGUCACUUUAUUAAACCAUGAUUAUUGUAAAAUAAAAAAAUUUUUGUCUUUCAAUUGUAAAUGGACGAACUGUUUAUACUCGACCUUUAUAUAAUUGUAUAAAUAUUAACCUUUGUAUAACUCAAAAUUAUAGUUUAUUCUAUCAAUCUUAAUAAAUUGGAAGUAGAUGAUUUUGAUUUGCAAAUGUUUUCGCUUCCAUAUUUGUAACUAUUUUGAUUUUAAAAAUUCAAUAAACAAAUAAAGUUGACCGAAGUAUUCUCUAAAUGCCGACCAUUUUAAUUAACAAAACUUAAAAACUUUUAAGGAGAAUUGGGCCAGCAGUAAAUCCUUGAUUAUAUGUAAACUGAUAACCUUCAAAAACCAUUUAAAUUGGCUUUCUUAACCCAAAAGUAUUCUAAUCCAAUGUUUGCUAUAUGAUUUCGAACCAAGUUCGAUUUAUUCAAUUCACAAUUAAAUGACGAAGAGAAUAUUUUAAUGAGUUCAAAUAGUUUUACUUUAUUAAUAACUUAGUAGAAACCUAAUGAAAGUGAGAAUAUUGGAAUCUUUGACUCUCUUUGUAUUUGAGAGUAUUUUUGCUUUUUUAUUUAUUGUUUUAGAUUUCAAUGCUAUAUUUAUUUGGUUUAUUAAAAAAAGAAAAUGCUCCUUCAAAACAUUUCAUAAAUUCUCUGCGAGUUACAUGAGAACUACGACAUUCAUUAUUUUUAUAUAUGCAGAUACAAGUUUUUUUUUUUUUUUUGAAUGAUAUAUGCAGAUACAAGUUGAUCGUUAUUACAUUUUCCAUAUAUAUAUAUAUAUAGUUGUUUUCUGGUUAUGCCUUUAAAAUCAUGCCGUUUUAAAGUUUUCCUAGAUUAUCCCGCACUUUAAAAUUUCGGAUUGGAAUAUUUCUCUCUCUCUAUAUAUGUGUGUGUGUGUGUGUAUUUGAAGUUUUUUGGUCCGAAAUUUUAAAAUACGGGAAAGUUGGAGAAAGAUAUUAAAUCCCACGGUCUAAGAGCAUUAUGAAAUUAUACCCUCAAACAAUACGAUUUAAGAGAUUUCUCAAACUUUCCUAUACUUUAAAAUCCUUGAUUGGAACAUAUAUAUAUAUAUAUAUAUAUAGUAACUAAACUAUGUCUCCAGGCAACUAGUUAGCCUUGAACUUUGAUUGAGGAGCUUUCACUACAUAUGGAUCAAGUUGGAAUGCCCUAGCGAAAGCAUAAGGAUCAAUUGGUGGAGUAGAUCCGAAGAUUGCAUCUGCAAUUGUAAUAACACCAGGAUUCUAGUUGCUCAAAGCAGCAGUGGCAAACGGCACUGCUUGGUCCAAUAUUCGCUUGGAAAUGAAUGAGCCCAAUUGGAAACACAAACACGUCUCCUUUGUUCAGGGCUCUGGCGAAGAGCGUGUUAUUUAGCUGGUUUGAUGUCACAAAACCAACAUAGAGAGUGCCCUCCAGGACUACUAGGAUUUCUCUAGCACAAGGGUGAGUGUGAGGUAUGUUUGGCCGCCGUUUGCCACGUAGUCGAUACGAACUACGGAUAUGCCGAGUAGUGCUGAGCCCUCGAAUCUGUUCUAUAUUUACAGUCGUGACUGUUGAGCCAACUUGCUUUGUUGUGCUUUUAGGGAUAUUGUGCCCUGAAAAUCAAUCAAAACUACUUGUUAAAAAGAUUCUGUUUCGUUUUUAACUUUUUUCGUGUCUUUUACUAUUUUACCCCCAUAAUUAGACUUUUGAUACACAAAGGUCAACAAUUAAUCAAUAAAAGGAAAAAAUUAAUCAUAAGUCUGAUUUUCAUGGUAAAAUAAAAAAAUAGACAAAAAAUUAGAAAGUUCCUGUACUCAUUUUAAUGCCAAAGAGUAGUAAUGAGUUUUGAAACAUAAGGAGAGAAAUAAUAGAUCUACUUGAACAAUAGGAGGAUUUUGAUCAUUUUCCCACUUAUAUACAGAAAAACGAUACACAUCACAUGUCUUGAACUUGAAAUCAUUGAUGUCAACACAACCAAGAGGACAGAAGCUACAAGAAAUUGAACUCCUUUCAUGUUGAUUACUCUAGGUAUGUGUCAAUAGGGCAUAAGUAGCCUUUCAUAGUCGGAUUGAAUUAUAAAGAUGCGAAGACUUACCAAGUUUAUUGGUUCUUUUUUUUUUUCAUGCUUUAUAAAUGAAGAUUAGUGAGUUCUCCAUGAGACUAUCCUUAGAUAUUUAUUUUUUUAAUUUGAUAAUGUUCAACGGAUAAUUUUUUAAUUCUGUAUUUGUUGUAAGUGCUUAUUUUUCGUACAUCUAAUCUUCAUAUGUCGGCUGCUGCUAGUGUAUAUCGACUAGACUGACACCACUACUAGAAAUUGUUUAUGAUCAAUGUAAAUAAAAAAGUGGUGUUUUGUUAAUAUUGGGGACUGUGGUCGUUCCGUUCAAAUAAUCUUCUAAACUUAAAAUGUCGUUUGAUGAACCAUAUAUAUGUCACAUAGAUUUACUCAUUUAUAAUAUUUUAUAUAGCACACAGUACAUGGAACAAGAAUGUGUGGAUAGUCUAUCUCGAAUGAUCUAUCUCUAUGUCAUAAAUUAAUCUUCAAUCUGAAAAUGUACAUAUGCACUCCUAAGAUAUUAAAAAACGUUUCAACAUAUUUUCAUACUUAUAUGAUCAUAUCAUUUUUUUUUCCUUCCAAGUGGGAAAAUAUUUCAUGGUCUUGGAUAGACAUCCACCCUCUUUGUGGUGUGCAUGAGUCUAUUAUUUUUAGCAAUCUAGGGAAGGAUGAUGGAUGAGGAGAAAAAGAUUAUUUAUGAAUUGACUUCUGUAAUACUGAUAUAGUCACAAAUUUAAAGAAGUAACGUUACCCAAACAAAGUCUGUACCUCAACAAACAUGAGACCAUUUAAUUCAAAUCUACCACAUGAUUAUGUGAAAUGAUAGUUAAUAAUUCAAAUAUUAUAAAUAUACUAGAUGAUUUUAAAUGUCAUGUCAAUUUAUCUCUAACUACAUAAGUAAAAUAUUAUUGUUUGAUGAGAUAUGUUGAUAUAUAUAUAAUUUUCUACCUACUCAUAGUUUACGUUCCUCGACAAAGUGUUCGGAUCUUUCUUUUUUUAAUUUUUUUUUUUUUUUUGUGGCAAAAUUGUGAAAACAAAAUAAAAGAGAUGUUCAUGGUCAAAAAUUCUUUCAGCAAGGAUAAUCUGGUCAUCAGCAUCAGCUGUUUAAUAGAGAAGGUUAUAAAAAACCAAAAGCAAAGUUUUUGAAAACUAGAUAGGUCGUACAGGGAUAUUGACAUGGCUUGAAAGUAUGUUAAUGCUUCUUUUUCUUUUCUUCUCGUUAUAAGCACACAACGACAUAAUUAAUUGAUUGAUGAAAAAUCGAUGCUUUAAAGCGACUGAAGCUUUAGUAGUCCCAGCAAAAAAUUUAAACAAAGUCAGUACAUCAAAUUUUCAUUGAUUGCACCUUUUUUUGGCCAAAAUAACUCCAACAAGUAAGAACCCUCUCAGUCAAAAUUGUAAAUCACUGUAAUAAAAAAUUUUAAAGUCCUAUGUUAUAUUCUCCGUACAAGAAAUUUUAAAAUACAUUAAAGGAAAUUCAACUAAUUGACAUUUGUAUAAUAUGUAUGUUAAAUUUUAUAUAAUUACACUUGUAUAGUAAUUUUUCAAAAUAAAUUUACAUAUGGCAUAAUUUCAUUUAUUUGUUGUAUGAUUGAUAUAAUAUUUUAAAAGUACUUUAAAUUUUCUCUCUCCAUAGGGUUUUAAUUUUUUAGUAGCUUUAUUAUUUGACAAGCCAUCUGAAGCAGCUUUUUUUUCUCGUAUUAUAUGUUUCCGUAAGAGAAAUCUGAACUUUUUUUUUUUUGCUCUUUUUAAACAGUUUUAGUUUAAAUAAAAGUGUUGAAUUUUUAAUUCGAAUUCAUGACUAGUUUGAGUGCUUUUGGCUAGGGGUGGGCACGGUUCGGUUCGGAUCGAAAUUAAGUACAACCGAUUUAAAUCGGUUAUUUUAUAAAAAGAACCGAAUAAGAACCGAACUCAAUAAGAACCGAACUCAAACGGAUCUUUUCGGAUCGGUUCGGUUUUUUCGGUUCUGAGCCUAUUAGGCCUAUUUUGAAUUUUCAAAUUUUUAGCCCAUUGGGCCUUAUAAAUGUAAUAAUUUUUUUCAACAAUUAGUUCAUCCUAAUUUCAUUACAAAUAUUAACAAUAAAUACAAAGUAUUCAAAGCACAUUUUAUCACUAAUAUCUUACUAACUACUAAUAAGGUACUCACAAAAUAUAAAAUAUUAAAAUUUCAAAAUACAUAACCAAACUCCAAUACUCCAUCUACAUAAACAUAAUCAUAAUGUUGUAAAGACAAAUAAAAAUAACAACAAUUACAACUUACAACACAAAAUAAAAAGAAAAUUUAGAAACAAACGCCAACAACAUUCUCCCAUCUUCAUCAAUAUCAACAUCAACUUUAGGCAUUUUCCAACUCAAUAUUUGGAUCUAUAAAAAAAAUUUAACACAUGUCGAUUUGAAUAAAAUCUAAAAUUAAUUCGGUUUUUCGGUUUGGUUUUUCGGUUCAGCUGAGUGAACCGAAUACCGAACCGAUAUUUCGGUUUUUUUACAAAUGAUAUAUUUCAGUUUUUAAAAAAAUAAAAACCGAUCCGAAUUAGAAAAAACCGCUAGUUCGGUUCGGUAUUUUUAAGACCACGGUUUUUUUGCCCACCCCUACUUUUGGCAAGAAAGUUUGUUAUGCGUAGCGCACACUAACGGAAGUUAGUUACGGCAGUUGCUGCUUUGACUUUUGGUUGACCUAAGCUGUUAUAUAGGCUGAUAAGCAUAGUAGGUUCAGGAGCUUGUAGUUAAUUCAUUUCUCUGAGUUAUAAAACACUUGAUGACUCAUCAGAAAUCUGAUUGUAAUCUCUUUAAAUAUGAACCCUUUACUCUUAAUGAAAAAGAGCUUGAAGAUGGCUUACUGUGCAUAAACAUUGGUGGUUAGUGUUGAUAAUUUACGUGUGUGCUCUGCAUUCUGCUUGCUAGUUGUGUUUGUCUUGAUUAUUGGGGCAAAUUUUUGUUGCUAGUUGUGUUUGUCUCAAUUAUUGGGGCAAAUUUUGGUUGUGUUAGGAAAUUGAUGGGUGAAAUAGACACAUAACUAAAAUGAAAUUGAGAAACAAUGAUCACAUAGGGACACUAAGAUUUACAUGAUUCAACUUUUAGCCUACAUCCAUGGUGUUGUGCAAAUUUUAUUGAACUCGCAAGCGCAAAAAUUUAUUGUAGUAUAAAUUUAUAGUGACGAGUGUCGAUCCCAUAAGGAGGUAGAUUUAAUCAUAUGUAGGGUUAAUUUUCCAAGUUCAUAUGUGUAUUGCUUAGAAGUAAUUUCUUUAUCUUAAGAUUUAAAAUAAAAUGACAGGAAUGAAUUAAAGAUGAAACUAUACAAAUGAAGUGCUUAAGUUUUUAGAUUCACACUCAACACUUCACUAUGGACUUACUAUUCUUUUUUUUAGUUCCAAUUAAUAUAUGAGGGGUAUUUCCACUCCUCAUAAGCCUCAUUCUAAUAAAUAUAGUAUCAAGCACUCAUUCUUACUACUUACUAGAACGAAACCCUUAUUUAUAGGCUUCACGUUCCCUCUUCCUCUAAUUUUUUUUUUUUUUUAAUAAAAGACUUAGUGGAUGUUGAAAGUUACACUAAUAAUAUGCUACUUACUCAUAUCUCCCAGUUACUCAACAAAUUAUGCCAAAAGUCAGAAUGUUGCAUGAUAACCACAUGCAAUUACUUGCUACAUGCAUGCAUAUGUUCGACAUUAUGUGUCUUUGCUCUUAUCAAGCGACAUCAGCAGGUCAUCUAUCAAUUGAUCUUGGGGCUUAAUAUAAUCUGUUUCACAUCAGAUUUUGCAUAACAAAAGUAACGAAGAGAUUAAUUAGAAUAAAUAAAUAUAUAUGUGUGUGAAUGUACCGACAAAAUAUAUGUGUAAGGAGAGGCAUGGGAAAGGCUUGGCUGCUAAAUAAAAACAACAAUAAAUUAUGUUUAUUACAUGGCUACAAUCAGCCUGGAGAGAGGUUCAUCAGAGACCUCUUUUAUUACAUUAAGAUAUGAUAAUCUGGAGUUAAAACAAUAAAGCCACUAGUGAAGAGGCCAUUUAUAUUAAAGCUCAUUAAUUCCUUCUCCUAAUUGCCAUUAAUGAACUUAUGCUGAAGAUCUAUCACUGUCUUUGGAUCCAACUGGAAUGCCUUGGCAAGAAAAUCGGGAUUGAUUGGAGGAUUAGCUCCAAAGACCGCGUCGGCUAUGGUAAUUUCACCCGGGAACUGGCUGUUUAGAGCAGAAUAGGCAACUGCAUUUGUUUUUCCAACGUUGAAUUGGAAGUGAAUCAAACCUUUUGGAAACACAAAAGCAUCUCCCUUAUUCAGAACUUUUGCGAUGAGUUUGUUAUUUAGCUGGUCUGAUGUCACAAAACCGACAUGAAGAGUUCCUUCCAGGACCAGCAGGAUUUCACUGGCACGGGGGUGAAUAUGAGGUGGCCUUUGGCCGUAUGGCGCAUAGUCAAUGCGGAAUGCUGAUAUGCCAAGGGUGUUGAGGCCUGGAAUUUGCUCAACAUUUGCAUCUGUUUCAUCAACACCAAGUCGAUUUGCUGUGUUUCCAGGCUUGUCUAGCCCUGAGAAGAAGAAAUCAUCUGCUCUCGCAAGCUUGGGGUCCUUGCAGAACUUCCCAUUCACAAACACUACAAGAACACACACACAUACACACACAAAGGGGGAAAAAAAGAAUAAUUAAGUAGCAGCACAAAUUAUAUUGAAAUUUAUAUGUUUCGUUAGUUCAGCUUACGUACCACCAUCCUUCGGGUCCUCGAUGGCUACACAGAUAUCUUGUAGAGGGCUAGGGUCAGAGGCAGAGGCCAAAGAAGAAGCCAAAGCCAAGAGAGCAAAACCUAUAAGAAAUUGAAUUGCCUUCAUGGUGAUUAAUUAACAGGAUGUACCUAUCUCAAACUUUAAUCAAGUGUUGUGAUUUGAGAAUAUUGCGAGGCAAACUAGACUAUUUAUAGAACGGAGUCCGUGAACGAGUUUGCGUGUUCAAUUAAUUAGUCCUCGAAGCCGGUCAAGAUUACUGAGUUCUCAUUGGUUAUCUUUGUAAUGUUUCUCAGCCUUCAUUUUCAUUUUUGUUUUCAAAAUUUACACAUCUUAAAUAUAAAUUGUAAAACGUACAAAACAAAGUCUGGCUGACAGUGAUAAAACCCAGACAGGUUAGACACGUUUCCGCCAAUCUUCAAAGCGAACCAUAAAAUACGAUAAGAAACAAUAUUUUAACGCGUUUUCCAAAGCUUAAUUUAAAUAUAAUUUUUUCAUUGGAAAGAAACGAGUUGAAGAAUUUAUGAAAAUGGGUGAGAAAGAAAUUCAUGUCUCUAGCAACAGACUAACAGUUCGGAGUCAUGUUCUGUAGAUGUCGAUGUUACCGGACUUGAUUGGUUUGUUGUUGGACUUAAUGAAGAAGCAUUAUUAGCCUUUUUUUUUUCUUUUUCAUAGCAAUUUUCGUAGCUGCUUUAACCAUUUUUAGUUCUAUCAAUGCUUUACCGAGUCAAUGAUGCACAUGUUUUUUUCAUUACAUGUUAAAGUCACAAAUCAUCUGCUUCAAGAAAAAACGUGAAGACUAUGAUCAGGAGGAACCAAAAGUCUUCUAUCUUAUUUUCAGUGGUCACGUUAAUUAGAAGCUGGAGUCGGCACGUUUUGUUAGAGAUAGUGAAAUCCUUUUACAGUGUCAAUUGAUAUAUAUCAUUUCAACUUUAAAAGUUAAUUUUAAUAUUUGAUAAUUUUUUUUAAAAUCGCUUUUAGUAAAAUCAUGUAGAUCUUGAAAAGUAAAAAAAGAUUAGUUUUUUAAAAUUUGAUUUCGAUGAUCACUUUUAUACUUAAUACAAUUUCAUAUAUAUCCUUAUGUAUAAGAAAAAUCCAAAAUCAUCCUCAUUAAUUAGAAAAUAAAAUUAUUAAUUUGAAAGAGAUUAUUUGUAUUACCAAUUAUAUUGAGAUAACAAGAUAAAAAUAAAAUUAAUAAUGUAAAUAUUUAUUUUAGUUAUCAAUUUUUAUAUAUACACACCUAAAAAUAUUUUAUUUACAUGUUUAUAAAUUUGUAAAUAAAUUUUAUCCAACAAAUGUUCACUUUAAUCAUUUACAUUCUUACAACAUUUUAACAGUAAGAUUUACCAAAUACAUACGACUACUUUUAAAACCCACACACUUUUAAAAAUAAAUUUUACUGAACGUUUAAUUGGUUCUCUAUUAUAGCUGAUUAUUUCUACAGUAUGACUAACAGUAAUUAUUUUACAAGUUAUAACAUUAUUAAACUAGCCCAUAGUGACUCAAUUGAUUAAAACUAAGUCAAUUAAAUCACUAAGUUAGGAAAACAAACCGCCCUUUAGUAAAUUUCUUAAUGUAAAUAUUAGUAAAUUAUGAUGGAAAUAAAAAUAAUAAUCUCUUCCUUUGUUCACCUUUUAAUUAAAAUCCGUUUCAUUAGCUAUUUUGAAUAACAAACUGAAUUGAUCACGAAAUAAUAAUCUCUUUUUCCAAUCAUAAUCAUUUGUAAGGACAUUAAUUAUGUAUUUUUAAUGGGUUCAUAUGUUAAUUAUAUUGUAUACCGUUUGUCAACCAAACUGGCAACCAUUUUAUUGGUUAAAAUUCAUUCAUAUCAGUAUUUAAGAUACGCAUCACUUUCUAGCAACAAUGCGUCAAUGUUAUAUAUGUUCCCGUUCAAACUUUCCACUUGCUGCUUCACCCAUGUAAGUUAUGAAAAAGUUGCUGAGAAAAUGAAAAAAUAAACCAUGGCCAUGAAAAUAAUAAAACGCCGCCAGCCGUUUAGUAUAAUUCUAGGAGCGAUUUAUCAUUUCUUUUUCCUUUUUGCUUUUUAUUUCAACAAUUUAUUAUUGACUAGUGUAUUGCAGGCUUGCAUCAAUGAAGUGUUUGGAUCAUUUAUCCCCUUUUUUUCAAAUAUAAUUCAGAUAUAAUUCUAGAUUAUGCUGGUAGAAACAUCGUCUCAAAGAUUCUAUUGGGUCAUCAAUAGCUGUAUAUGAGUAUAUCUUGAAGAGGGCUACUUUUUCUAGGAUAUGCUGCUAGAAAAUUUUGCAACACGUAACCACUACGAGUUAGUCUUUUUUGUUUAAUUAAGACUCUAAUCUCCCUUUCUAGAAUGCAAGAUAAAAAAUUAAGCUAGAAACGUUAUAUCAAAAUAAUGAAUAGUUACUAAUUUUUGUCAAAUAUAAUUCUAGACAUUCUAGUCACACAUUUUACCAUUUAGUCCAUAAAUUUUCAAAGUACAUAUUAUAUUUCUAAUAUUAUACUUUUAUGUUCAAAUUACUCUGUUGAAUUAUACAUGCGGCUUUUUAACAUAUUAUCCGCUGUGGGUUUAGAUUUAGUAAUGGCAAACCCGCUGCGGGUGCUGCCUAUUGCUAUCUCUAGCCGUGUACUUUUUUUUUCCUUUUAACUACAUUGAUGGAAAGCUGAAUUUUGACUUUUUAUAUUCUGACGAUCCUUCCUUGUACUUCAGUAUGAAGGAAUACGAAGAGAGGGCUGUAUCUUUGGCAUUGGAUCGGCAAAAGCUCCAGGCCCUCACCAAUAAACUUAAAUCAGUACGCUUGACAUGUCCUCUAUUUGACACAGCACGAUGGAUGAGUUGAAACUAAUGUUUGCGAUUGUUUUGCAGUUCUUGGCCCACUUUGUGAAAGAAGUGACUUACAAAUGGAUGCUUUUUUUUUUGGAAAUUGCAAGUCAAGAAUCUGGAGAGGUCAUAUAUCAAAAUGUGGAGUCUCCAUUGCUCUGGGCAGAAGCCCCAACACUUCAAAGUAACUGAGAAUGACUUGGACUUCCCUUGCGAUAGAUAGGUAUAUGGGAAGGGAAACGGGAUUGUAGAUAAAAGCAAAUAGGAAUAGUAGAACGAUGAUUAUUAUUGUAUUUAGAAGAAGAAAUUGUUUCACCUUAUUCAAAUGACGCCAUGGCUGAGUUUGUGAUGUCAGUGCUGAUAAUGGAUUGUAGUCUGUGUACAAAUGUACUUUUCUAUUUAUAAGGAUUUGUGAAAAACGUUGGAGAUUAGAAAAGAAAAUAAAUAGAUUCUUCCUCAAGCCAUCAGUUCUGUUCUAUUAGAGUUGGGACCAGUGGCACCUCCCUAAUCUCAUCAUCAAAUUCCUUCUUCAGUUAUAUUUAUUUCAUCUGUGAAAACGUCGUUUUUUUUCCUUUUUUUUAAGAACACUUUUAAUUUUUAUUUUAUUUUUUUAGUUAAAAGUAGUAUUGUGUUAUUAAUUUUUAUUUCUUUUGUAAUCUUAUUAUUAUCUUAUGCACAAGAUAAAAGAUUUUUUAGGUGACGAGUUUUUCAAUAUUAAUUAUUUAAUUAAAUUAUACAUAUGUUAAAUUAUAAUUUAAAAAUAAAUUUAAGUAUAAAAAUAUUUAAUCGAUAACAAAUCUGAAAAUAAUAAUAGAUUAUUUCAAAUUUUGUAUGGUUUAUUUUAGUUAGAUAAGAAGUAACCGGUACAAAAUUUUAAAAAAAAAAAGAUUGAUUAUAAUUGUAAGUAAUUUUUUUUUUUAAAAAGAUAGAUUAUCAAUAUAAGUGAUUUAUUGAAAAGAAAAAUUUGUGUAUGAUUAAUUUUAUUUGAAGCAGGGUUUUUGAAGGAUAAUGAAGGGGUCCCAAACACUGUGGAGUUGUUGGCUCUUCCGCUGUCAAAGUCACGUAUGCUUGGAAGCUUUUAACCACCGCUGUCAAAAGUCACGUAUACUGCAAUUGGAUCAUGGAUUUUUCAUUUAAUAAGAUAACCACCGGCGGCAACUCUGAUAUACAAAAACAUGUAUUUCAGAUUACGGAAUCUAUCCAAACAUAUAGCAUGCGAGUGCGAUUACCAGCUCGAGCAGUUUUUAUUGCGGAAUUCUUUCAAACACAUAGCACGCAUGUGAAGUUCCCACAUUGGACCUUCCAAGAUGUUAGUUUCUCUAUUCAGAAACCGAACUCAAUGCCUCAUCCCCUCCUUCAAAACCAUGACCACCGCAGCCGCGGCUAAAACCUCAAAAGACGAUUACUUCGCAGCCGUAAACCACAUCGCCAUCAUAGUCCGUCACUACAUAUAUCCAGAACGCACCCUCAACAGACUCAACCUCACCCUCACCUCAGAGCUCGUCUACCGCGCCUCCGCGUCUGCCACACUACUUGCCCUUCCAAAUCCCUCCGCUUCUUCACCUGGGCCCGCUCCCAGCCCCAAUACUCCCCCACUUCCCUCGAAUUCGAACAGCUCAUCUGACCCUCGCCCACCACAAACUCUACCAGUCCAUGUGGAAUCUACGUUCUUCUGGCAUUUGAUUGCGUUCCACCCAAGCACGCUGUUAUUUAUUUUUAAGAAAUAAUGGUGUUUGUAAUUAUUGUCUUUUCUGGCUUUAUCUAGAGUUUAUCUGAGAAAUAAACAGUCAUAAAUAGUUUUGGUUGAUGGACUCUUGGACUUGGUAUUGGAAUUUGGAUUGAAGCAGAGGCGGUUGGCUCGGAGAAAUGAUUACUUUGAACAUUUUUUGCAUGCAUGUAUUUUAUGAUUUUUCAUUUGCUUCUAACCUUGUUGUUCAUUCAAAUGAAAUCAAAUACUCAUUUGGUAUGAUAGAAUCAGUGGGCAAUCAUUUUUAUUUUAGCUUAAAAACCAGGUUAUCUUUGCAUAGCUAUAGUUUUAUAGUUUCUGUUUCUGUGCUUUAUGCUUUCAAAUACUGAUGAUGAACCGAGUGUUUAGCCCAGAGCAAGCUUUCGGGUUUAAGGACAUUAAUUUGCAGCUGAUUCAGCGGUUACACAUACAAUGAUAAAAAUGUGUACCCAAACGCACAGUUUAUGAGCAUGUCUCUCACUGUAUACACGAUUGAGAGUGGGUCCGCCUCCUACUUUAUAACAAUUUAUGUUAGAGUAAUGAUACAGCUACAAACUCUUGUACAAACUUAUUUUGUACAAACUGACGUGGCAUUAAUUCAUUGGUUGAAUGAAAAUAUAAAAUAGUAAAAACAAAUUAUGUGGGCCAAGUGAUAUUUAAUUCAACCAAUCUUAUCAUGCCACAUCAGUUUGUACAAAAUAAGUUUGUACAAGAGUUUGUGGCUAUAUCAUUACUCUUUAUGUUAUACUGACAAUAUUUUCCGCAGUGAUCGCAUGUUUGAAGUUUUGCUUCUCGAAAUGGCUCCUUUCAUUUUUUUCUUUAUUAAAAUAGACAAUUUUCGUUUUUCGUUUUCGACAAGGAAGGUAACUGAUAUGUUUAACGAAGGGAUGAUGUUUUCCUUCAAAAAAUAGUUCAGAGUUAUCGGUAGCGUCUUGUCUUUAAUUUUCUGAACUCCGUGCAGUUGGUGUAAUAGUUUUUGCUGUUCUUCUCUUUGCGGCUAGUGCCUAGAGAGAUGGAGAGAAGCUGAAUGUGAACUAGGAAGGUGGAAAUGUUGUACAUUAACAUACGUAAUCAACUACGACUAUAAAUCCUUUUCAUGGACCCAAAACAUCAUAUCAAUCAAUGCCAUUAUAGUUAUCAAAACUAAAAAAUUAUGGCUUUUGAUAAGUUACAGCUUGUUGUAAGUUUUUGUCCUUACAAAAACAUACAAAAAAUAGUAAUAUGACAGUGAGCACACUUAAUUUUUGUAUGGGCUGUAAAUUACGCUAACUUAGUGUAACUAAAUGUAUUAUAAGAAAGACAAAAUUUAUUGAUUUUUUUCUUAACUAAGUGAUUAGAAUACAUUUACUCAUAAUUAUCGAAGCAGAAAUUAAGUGAUAAUCAAGGGCUUGUAAAACACUUAAUUUCAAACCUCUAAAUUUGAGAACUAUAACAAUAAGAGAAGUUAAGUAACAAUUAAGUGCUUAUAAAACGAUAACUUUUAUUAUAGGUAAAGGAGAUAUGUAUUCAAUAACUAACCACAGGCUGAAGCUCAUCUCAUAUGAAUACUAUUGUGCGAUAGAGAUUACAAUUGUAUGACAAAUGACCCUUGAUAAAUUUAGACAACUAGUAGAAAUUAGAAUUUAAAUUUUUUAUUUUUAAGUUUUUCCAAUAUUCCAAUGUUAAACAUUUAAUUAAAAUUAAAUAAAUCUUAAGGAUAUAUAAAAUCAUGUUUUUAUAAUAGGCCUAAAACGAAACUUUAGAAAAUACAUUUUUUAUGUUAAUUUCUCUUAUACAUUUAUCUGUUACAUACAAAUAUGAUAUGAAUGAGUGAUAAACUCUUUCAUAAAUUAUAUAUUUGACAAGACCAAACCAAAACUUCCACAAAAUAAAUAAUUAAUUAGUUAAUCCAAAACUACCUCGGUUAAUCUGUUAAAUGUUGAAUGUGUUUGAAUAAAGUAAUUUAUAACAAUUUUAAACAAAAUAAAUUUGGUCUAUUCUAUAUUUCAGUCGUCAAUGAGAGUUCUUUUCACCCUUCAACUACUGGACUCUCGCAAUUUAGAGUUAUCAUUUUUAUUAUUAUUGUUAUUGGUCAUAAUUUUAAAAUUUGUUGGGAAAUCUGCGGAAUUAUAUAUUAAACAUCUAAAUUAAUAAUAUGUAUGAAAUAAAUGGCAUCCCACACAAAUAUAAACAAUAAUUUUACUUGAAUUAAACACCCAAAUCCUAUAUUAUAAUAUUAUGCAUAAUUAAACUUACACACUAGACCAUUUUAUUAUAAUUUGGACUUGUGAAGUAUAUUAUUCACUCAGAUUUAUCAACCGUAGAUCACUUUAUCAAACCAUGAUUAUUGUAGAAUUAAAAAAGUUACUGCUUGUCAACUGUAAAUGGACGAACUGUUUAUACUCACCCUUUAUAUAAUUGUGUAAUUAAUUAAUCUUUGUAUAACUCAAAAUUAUUGUUUACUCUAUCAAUCUUAAUGAAUUGAAAGUAGAUGGUUUUAAUUUGCAAAUGUUUUUGCUUCUAUAUUUGUAACUAUUUUUAUUUAAAAAAAUUCAUUAAACAAAUAAAGUUGACCAAAGCAUUCUCCAAAUGCCGACCGUUUUAAUUGACAAAGCUUAAAAACUUUUAAGGAAAUUGGGGCAGAAUAAAUCCUUGAUUAUGUGUAAACUGAUAACCUUCAAAAACCAUUUAAAUUGCCUUUCUAAAGUAUUCUAAUCCAAUAUUUGCUAUAUGAUUUCGAACCAAGUUCGAUUUGUUCAAUUCAUGAUUAAAUGGCAAAGAUAAUAUUUUAAGGAGUUGAAAUAGUUCCACUUUAUUAAUAACUCGGUACAAACCUAAUAAAAAUGAGGAUAUUGGAGUCUCUCGCUCCCCUUGUAUUUGAGAGUAUUUUCGCUUAUUUAUUUAUUAUUUUAGAUUUCUAUGCUGCGUUUAUCUAGUUUAUUAAAAAAAAAGGAAGAUCCUCCUUCGAAAAAUUUCACAAAUUCCAUGCGAGUUAAGUAAGAACUACGCCAUUCAUUAUUUUUAUAUAUGCGGAUACAAGUUGAUCAUAUAUAUAUAUAGAGAGUAACUAAACUAUGUCUUCAGGCAACUAGUUAGCCCCGAACUUUGCUUGAAGAGCUUUCACUACAUAAGGAUCAAGUUGGAAUGCCCUGGCGAGAGCAUAAGGAUCAAUUGGUGGAUCUGAUCCGAAGACUACAUCUGCAAUUGUAAUAACACCAGGAUUCUGGCUACUCAAAGCAGCGAUGGCAAACAGCGUUGGUUGGUCGAAUAUUCACUUGGAAAUGAAUGAGCCCAUUUGGAAACACAAACACAUCUCCUUUGUUCAGGGCUCUGGUGAAGUGUGUUCUUUAGCUGGUUUGAUGUCACAAAACCAACAUAGAGAGUGCCCUCUAGGAUUACUAGGAUUUCUGGGGCACAAUGAUGAGAGUGAUGUGGGUUUGGCCGCUGUUUGCCGCGUAGUCGAUACGAACUAUAGAUAUGCCGAGUAGUGUUGUGCCCUGGAAUCUGUUCUACAUUUGCAGUUGUGACUGUUGAGCUAACUUGAUUCGCUACGCUUUUAGGGAUAUUGUGCCCUGAAAAUUAAUCAAAACUACUUGUUAAAAAGAUUCCGUUUCGUUUUGAAUUUUUUUGUGCCUUUUACUAUUUUAUCCCUAUAAUUAGACUUAUGAUACAUAAAAUGUCAACAAUUAAUCAAUAAGAGAAAAAAAUUAGUCAUAAGUCUGAUUUUAAUGGUAAAAUAAAAAAUAGACAAAAAAGUACAAAGUUUACGUAAUCAUUUUAAUGCCAAAGAGUUUUAAUGAGUUUUGAAACGUAAGGAGAAAAAUAAUAAAUCUACUAGAACAAUAGGAAGAUUUUGAUCAUUUUCCCACUGAUAUAAAGAAAAACGAUACACACCACACGUCUUGAUCUUGAAAUCGUUGAUGGCGACACAAAAAUCCUGAAGACGGCUAGGGUCAGAGGCAAUGGCCAAUGAACAAGCCAAAACCAAGAGAACAGAAGCUACAGGAAAUUGAACUCCUUUCAUGUUGAUUAGCCACAUGCAAUUAGGGAUGGCAAAAAUUCCUACGGGGACAGGUACCCUCGGGGAUUUUCCCCAUUCAGGGAGGGUAUGGGAAUAAUUUCAUACCCAAUUUCUUAUUCGAGGAAAGGAAGGAGAAAUUUUUUUACCAAUUUCUUAUUCGGGGAGGGGACAUGGAUGAGGUGGAAUCCUCAUCCCCUACCCGUUUUCCCAUUUUAAUUUUUAAUUUUAUUAUUAUUUUUUAAAAUUACUAGUAAAUAAAUAAUAAAAUUUGAAUUAUAAAAUUAUAAAUAUUGGUAAAAAUAACAAAUAUCAAAAUAUUUAUAUUAUUAAACUUUUAGGCUUAAUUAACUAAUUAAAGUUCUAAAUUUUUAUUUAGGACAUUAAAAAAACCGGGUAAAUUCUAUUAGCCCAAAAAUUUUGUUUUAAUUUUAAUAUUCAUUAAAUGUUUUAAACUUAAAUAUAUUUUUUAUUUAUUUUUAGAUGUUAUAAUUGCCCACAGCGAAUCACAAUUUUAAUAUCUAAUUUAAUCUAAUAUUUGCUCUUGAUUUGCUCCGACUUAACUAUUGUGUUGUAAAGGGAAUAGUCCACAUUUAUAAAGUGCCAUGCCACCAUUGAAAAAGUUAAUUUUGAAUCUAAAUUCGAUUUUAUUUGUAACAAUUUUGUAUUAGACUAUUAAUUUAUUCAUGAUAGUUUGUAAAAGAAGUUUGUAUCCCUUACAUGCUGCGUUACUUACUAAUUUAAUGUANNNNNNNNNNNNNNNNNNNNNNNNNNNNNNNNNNNNNNNNNNNNNNNNNNNNNNNNNNNNNNNNNNNNNNNNNNNNNNNNNNNNAAUGUAUUAGUUAUUCGGGGAUUGAGGACCCUUGGGGAUCCCCUAUUAUUAUUCGGGGAGGGGAUGUAGAUUCUCUCAAGUAAUUCUGACGGGGACGGGGACAUACGCAAAAUAUCAGGGAUGGGUACGGGGGGAUUGGUCCCCUCCCCUCCCCUCCCCAUUGCCAUCCCUACAUGCAAUUGCUUGCUACAUGCAUGCAAAUGUUCAACAUUAUGUGUGAUUGCUCUUAUCAAGCGACAUCAACUAGUCAUCUACCAAUUGAUCUUGGGGCUCAAUAGAAUCUGUUUCACAUCAGAUUUUGCAUAACAAAAAGUAAUGAAGAGAUUAAUUAAUAUAUGUGUGUGUGUGUGUGUGUGUACGGAAAAAAUAUAUGUAUAAGGAGAGGCAUGGGAAAGGCUUAGCUGCUAAAUAAAACCAACCAUAAAUUAUGUUUAUUACAUGGCUACAAUCAGCCUGAAGAGAGGUUCAUGAGAGAGCUUUUUUUUUACAUUAAUUAAGAUAUGAUAAUCUAGAGCUAAAACAAUAAAGCCACUAGUGAAGAGGCCAUUUAUAUUAAAAGCUCAUUAAUUCCUUCUCCUAAUCGCCAUUAAUGAACUUAUGCUGAAGAUCUUUCACUGUCUUCGGGUCCAACUGGAAUGCCUUGGCAAGAAAAUCGGGAUUGAUUGGAGGAUUAGCUCCAAAGACCGCGUCGGCUAUGGUAAUUUCACCGGGGAACUGGCUGUUUAGAGCAGAAUAGGCAACUGCAUUUGUUUUUCCAACGUUGAAUUGGAAGUGAAUCAAACCUUUUGGAAACACAAAAGCAUCUCCCUUAUUCAGAACUUUUGCGAUGAGUUUGUUAUUUAGCUGGUCUGAUGUCACAAAACCGACAUGAAGAGUUCCUUCCAGGACCAGCAGGAUUUCACUGGCACGGGGGUGAAUAUGAGGUGGCCUUUGGCCAUAUGGCGCAUAGUCAAUGCGGAAUGCUGAUAUGCCAAGGGUGUUGAGUCCUGGAAUUUGCUCAACAUUUGCAUCUGUUUCAUCAACACCAAGUCGAUUUGCUGUGUUUCCAGGCUUGUCUAGCCCUGAGAAGAAGAAAUCAUCUGCUCUCGCAAGCUUGGGGUCCUUGCAGAACUUCCCAUUCACAAACACUACAAGAACACACACACAUACACACACAAAGGGGGAAAAAAAGAAUAAUUAAGUAGCAGCACAAAUUUUAUUGAAAUUUAUAUGUUUCGUUAGUUCAGCUUACGUACCACCAUCCUUCGGGUCCUCGAUGGCUACACAGAUAUCUUGAAGAGGGCUAGGGUCAGAGGCAGAGGCCAAAGAAGAAGCCAAAGCCAAGAGAGCAAAACCUAUAAGAAAUUGAAUUGCCUUCAUGGUGAUUAAUUAACAGGACGUACUUAUCUCAAACUUUAAUCAAGUGUUGGGAUUUGAGAAUAUAGCGAGGGAACCUAGCCUAUUUAUAGAACGGAGUCCAUGAACGAGUCUGUGAGUUCAAUUUCUUAGUCCUCGAAGCAGGAGAAGACUAACAGAGUCCUCAUUGGUUAUCUUUCUUAGGGCCUGUUCGGUAAUUUUUUCCUCUCAUCUUAAAACAUAAUUUUUUCCUCUCAUCUUCUUCCUCUCUCUCUCUCCCUCGUCGUCAAAUCUUAUCUCUAAGUGUCUCAUCUUCUUCCUUUCUCUCCCUUACCAAGUUAUACACGUUACUGCUUUUUCCUUUUUUCUCGAUCAUUUUUUCAAUUGACAUUGUGCUUUCCUUCAAUUUACUCAACUCAUUGGAAAGAAACGAGUUGAAGAAUGUAUGAAAAUGGGUGAGAAGGAAAUUCACGUCUUUGGCAACAGACUAACAGUUGAGAGUCAUGUUCUGUAGAUAUCGAUGUUUCCGGACCUGAUUGGUUUGUCGUUGGACUUAAUGGAGAAGCAAGAUUAGGCUUUUUUUUUUUUUUCUUUUCAUAGCAACUUUCGUAGCUUCUUUAACCAUUUUUAGUUCUAUUAAUGCUUUACCAAGUCAAUGAUGCACGUGUUUUUUUCAUUACGUGUUAAAGUCACAAAUCAUCUGCUUCAAGAGAAAACAGACUAGGAUCAGAAAGGAACCAAAAGUCUUCCAUCUUAUUUUCUGUGGUCACGUUAAUUAGAAGCUGGAGUCGGCACUUUUUGUUAGAGAUAUCCUUCUACAAUCUCAAUUGAUAUAAUAUCAUUUCAACUUUAAUGGCUGCCCGAGGUUUACCGACCGGCUAGCUCAUUAUUUUUUUGAUAAAAAUUAGUUACCUUCGUUUGUUAUAUAAUCAGGGGGAUAUUGGAAUAAAAGAGAAUGGAAAAUGCUAAGUAUCAAGAAGAAUGAGAGAAAUCUGAGAGAAUGAAGCAUGUGCUGAGAGAAGAGAGAGAGAGAAAAAGUUGACAGAAGAGAGAGAGAUGAAGCAAAACAGAAACCUGAAUUGUAGUUUCUCUCAGCUUUCUCUCGUUCUUCUAGCCAUCUAGCAGCACUCAAAGAGAAUAAUUCUUUUUGACGCUUUAAUUAUGCAGUGAGUGCUACUAUAUGACUAGAAGAACGAGACAAAGCUGAGAGAAACUACAAUCUAGGUUGCCGUUUUGCUUCAUCUCUCUUUUUUGUCAGCUUUUUUUCUCUCUCUCUUCUCUCAGUACAUGCUUCAUUCUCUCAGCUCUCUCUCAUUCUUCUUGAUACUUAGCAUUUUCCUUAUGUAAUUGAUCCCCUGCAUUGGGAUUGUACCGUUAUAUAUUAUUUGCUGUUUGUUUUUUAUUUAAGAUCUGAAUAAGUUUAAAUUAGUAUGAAUUUUAAAUAAAUUUAAAUGCAUGAAUUUGAAUAACGUAUUUAUUUAUUUUUUGUCACAAACUUUGAGAAUAAAUAUUAAGUUAUUUUUAACUUCAAAAAUCUAAAAUCAAAACCUUUACAUUUGUGUCCUUACAAUUUUAAAUGUUAAAUAUAUAAUGAACAUCUCAAAGAAUAUAAAUAAGAUAGUAUUUUAUCAUAAUAUAUUUAUAUUUUGUAUGAAUUUUAAAUAAAUUUAAAUGCAUGAAUUUGAAUAACGUAUUUAUUUAUUUUUUGCCAGAAACUUUGAGAAUAAAUAUUAACUUUUAACUUAAAAAAUCUAAAAAUCAAAACCUUUACAUUUGCGCCUUUACAAUUUUAAAUGUUAAAUAUAUAAUGAACAUCUCAAAAAAUAUAAAUAAGAUAGUAUUUUAUCAUAACAUAAAUGGUGCUCAGUGAAUGCAACCUAUUAAUAUUCUAAAUUAGAAUUAUAUUAAUAAAAUUUUGUGAAGAUAAAUAAUUCUAGUUUGAAGAAAAUAAAAAGAUAAAAAUAAUGAUAAUUUACUACUAUAUUAGUAAGCUUUAUUUAGGUAAGGAGGAAAAUAAAUUAAUUAGAUAAAGGUAUUGCAGAGAAUAUUUUUCAAUGAUGUGAUUCAAAAUUUUCAGAUUAAGUAAAAAGCUAAACAAAAUAAUUAGCUUAAAAACUUAAUGACUUAUCAAUCACUAAAUUUUUUUAUUAAAUUGAAAAAAUUAACAGAGUUAUGGUCCAUUUAGGAUUUAUUUCGGGAGGUGCUUUUGAAAAGUUUAAAAGGUAAUUUUGAUGUUUGACAAAUUUUUUAAAAAAUCACUUUUAGCAAAAUCACCGUAUCAUACAACAAAUUUUUAAAAGUAGAGAAAGAGUAGUUUUUUAAAAUUGGAUUUCGAGAAUCCCUUUUAUACUUAAUACAAUUUCAUAUAUAUUCUUAUAUAUAGGAAAAAAUCCAAAACCAUCCUUAUAAAUUAGAAAAUAAAAUUAUUAAUUUUAAAGAGAUUAUUAUUAUUACCAAUUCUAUUGAGAUAACAAAAUAAAAAAUAAAAUUAAAAAUAUAAAACAUUUAUUUUAGUUAUCAAUUAUUAUUUAUACACAACUAAAAAUAUUUUAUUUACAUGUUUAUAAAUGUGUAAAUAAUUUUUAUUCAACAAUAUGUUCAAUUUAAUUAUUUACAUUGUUAAAACAUUUUAACAGUAAGAUUUACUAAACAUUUAAUUGAUCUCUAUACAGCUAUNNNNNNNNNNNNNNNNNNNNNNNNNNNNNNNNNNNNNNNNNNNNNNNNNNNNNNNNNNNNNNNNNNNNNNNNNNNNNNNNNNNNNNNNNNNNNNNNNNNNAUUAAAUCAUUAAGUUAGGAAAACAAACUGCCCUUUAGUAAAUUUCUUAAUGCAAAUAUUAUUAAACUAUAAUGUAAUUAAAAAUAAUAAUCUCUUCCUCUAUUCACUUUUUUAAUUACAAUUAGUUUCAGUAGCUAUUUUGAAUGACAAACUGAAUUGAUCGCGAUAUAAUAAUCUCUUCUUUCAAUCAUAUGGGCAGGUUUGAGUCACUGAGGUAGCUGUGGGAAUUUGUUUUCGUUGAUUUCUGCACUGGGCUUUUUAGGAUUAUUUGUAAAGGCAUUAAUUAAGUAUUUUUAAUGGGUUUAUAUGUAAAUUAGAUUGUAUGUAAUAUUAAAGGUUUGUCAACCAAACUGGCAACCAUUAAUUAAGUUAAAAUCCAUUCGUGUCAGUAUUUAAGAUACGUGUCACAUUCUGGCAACAAUCUUAAUAUGUGUUUCCAUUCGAACUUUCCACUGGCUGCUUGACCCAUCUAAGUUAUGAAAAGUUUCUGAGAAAAUGAAAAAAUAAUCCAUGGCCGUGGAAAUAAUAGAACGCCGCCAGCUGUAUUGUAUGAUUCUAUGAGCGAUUUAUCAUUUCUUUUUUCUUUUUAUUUCGACAAUUUAUUACUGACUACUGUAUUGCAGGCUUGUAGCCAUUAAGUGUUUGGAUAAUUUAUCCCAUUAUUUUCAAAUAUAAUCCAGAUAUAAUUCUAGAUUAUGCUGGUAGAAACAUCGUCUCAAAGAUUCUAUUGGGUCAUCAAUAGCUGUAUAUAUCUUGAAGGGGACUAAUUUUUCUAGGAUAUGCUGGUGGAAAAUUUUGCACCACGUAACUACUAUGAAUGAGUCUUUGUUGCUUAAUUAAGACUCUAAUCUCUCUUUCUAGACUGCAAGAUAAGUUUAAGCUAGAAACAUUAUAUCAAGGUGUACACAUUUUCAUCAAAUAUAAUUGUAGACUUUCUGGUCACACAUUUUACCAUUUAGUCCAUAAUUUUUCAAAAUACCUAUUAUGUUUCUAAUAUUAUACUUUUAUGUUUGAAUUAGUCUGUUGAACUAUACAUGUGACUUUUUAACAUAGAAUACCCUACAUACCUUUUAGUAGGGGAUUUAAAAAAAAGAGCGCAUUAUAUUAAACUAAGGUAGUAUUUGUUUUUUUUUUUUUUGUCUGAAAUCUAAAUGAAUCUGAAUUUUUCUAAAGUCUGAAUGGGUCUGAUUACGAAAAUUUAAAUAAUAUGUUUAUUUUUCUUUUUUAAAUAUCUGAAUAUAAGUGACAUUUUGUUUGUUUUUAAAAUAAAAACAUCUUAAACUUGGUUAUUUGACAUUUAUGUCCUUGUAAAUUCAAAAAAAAAAAAGAGAAUUAGAUUUUAUAGUUUAGGAAAUAAGUUAUUUUACAGAGAUAUUUUUAGAAUAUAAUAUUUACUUGUCUUUCAGACCUUUUUUCAUACAGAUAAAAGUCACAAAGUUUAUUUUUUCUAUUCAUAUGUAAAUGUCUGAAAAUCAGACAUAAGUUCCAAAAAAACAAACAAGUAUAUUUUAGAAAAGGUCUGAAAUUAAUAAAAUUUCAAACUUCAGACAUUUAACAAACAAUCUCUAAGUGUAUGUUUAAUAUGAUUUAUCUAAUGGUCAUAAGUGCUUAUCUAAUCCCAUAAAUUCCUUUUAAAAUUAUUAUUAUUGUUUGAUUGCAUUUUAAGUAAAGUUUUUAAGGAUUAAAUAAAUUUUUUUGUCUCUACUAACAAAAGCUUAAAUUUUAAAAUUUUGAGAGUAUAGAUUAGAGAGACCUUUUAAAAAGUUAAAUCGUCCAAAAUGUUCCAUUAUUUAUUUCACAAUAUUAUGACAUUUCUCUCUCUCUCUCUCUCUCUCUCUCUCUCUAUAUAUAUAUAUAUAUAUAUAUAUAUAUAUCUUAAUUUUAAAAAUUGAUCUAUUAAAAUAAUUUUAUAUAAUUUUUAACAAAGAUCUCAUCGACAACCAAACAACUAAAAUUUCUUUAAUAAAAGCUUCACUUAUAAAAAUUUUACUAACAAAAAUUUUAUUUGAAUAAAUUUUAUCAGAAAAAUUAUACCAAACGAAGCUAACAAUAAGAUUAUAAUAGUAAAAGAAUUCAAUAAUUGCACUCUUAAUGUUACCAUUUAAAAAUUAUUAAGUUAAGAAUGAAAUAGGUAAUUUGGGAAACCCAUCUGGAGGGAUUUGCUUAACAUCCUUUAAAAUUUUUUCCCAGCUGGAAGUAAUUGCUGAACAUCCUUUUCAAUUCCCGAGUAUUAUCUAAUCAGCUUAUUUUGUCAUUUUUAGGUGUUUGCAAAGGCUUUUGGCAAGGAUACUGGGUUGGCUUACGUGUAGUGGACUGAUCAUGUUGACUUUGUUCGGUAGCACAUUUUAUUUUACGCGUGUCUAGUUGUAACCAUGUCUCUCACUGUAUACACCAGUGUGAGUGGGUCCACCUACUAUUUUAUGACAAUUUAUGUUAUACUGACAAUAUUAUUCGUGCUGAUCACAAGUUUGAAGUUUUGCUUCUCUCGAAGAACUGGCUCCUUUCAUUUAUUUAUUUAUUAAAAUUUACAUUUUUUUUCCGUUUCCUUGCAAGAAAGGUAAUUAGAUUAAGUUUAACGGGGCGAUGAUGUUUUCCAUUAAAUAAGUAAAACACAAUUUUAUGCCAGAGUAGAAAUGGCCAAUCAAAACAAGGGUUAUCCAUGUUCGUGCCAUGCCGUCGUGUGCUUAAUUUUUUUUUCUCGUACCUUGCCCAUAUGUGUUGUGUUGUGUCUAAAAAGAAGUUCAAUAAUUUUUUUUAGUUUUUUAAAAGCACGUACUAAGUAAUUGAUAUAUUUUUUUUAAGUUUAUGUUUUUUUUAGGUCUAUACCUUUAUUCAAAUUUAAUAGAAUUGAAAAUUUAAAACUCAAGUCUAUAUUUUAUAAUAAUAAACUAAUAAUAGUAAGAGAAUGUAAUAUUAAUUUUUAAGUUUGACAUUUUAACAUUAUUUUUUUUUAUACUUAACAACAACAACAAUAAUAAAUUUUUCUUAAGGGUUAACUUAAUUGUUAACUUAGACUUACAUAGAGUCAUAGAUCAUAAUUCACAAUAAUAUUAAUGGAUAUUUAUAAAAUCAUAAUAAUUAUAAUUUUAUUUAUUAAAAUCAUGAUAUCAAUUAUAUAUUUAAUAAAUUAUAAAUAUAAAUCAAUUAUAGUACUCUUUAAACUAAGAAUUAAAUGAAUUUAAAAAAUUCAUUUUCAAGUUAUUUGUAAAACUAUAAAAUUUUAAGUUUACUUUCAUUAAAAAAUAAAAUGUGCUUAUUGUGAACUUUUUUAUCGUGCUAUACUUAGUCCAUUUCUAAUCAUGUAGUGCUUUUAAUGCUCGUGUGCUUAAAAUUUUAAGUCUGGCCCAGUCCACGUGCGUACUGUGCCAUACCACAUACCCUACCAAAACGUGCUGGUAUUGUGCCGUACUGUACGAAUACAUGUCGUGCCAUGUGUCAUCUAGUCCAUUGGCCAUCUCUACGCCAGAGUGACAAUAUGCCACAUUGAGAAGAAUUGUGUGCCCCUAAAGCUGGAUUAAUAAUUUAAUUUGAAUUGACAUCUAUAACAGUUGUAGGCUAACCAAUAUUUCCACAGAAAAAAGUAGUUCAAAAUUAUUGGUCGCAUCUUGUCAUAAAUUUUUUAACUCUGCGCAGUUGGUGUAAUAGUUUCGGCUGCUAUUCUCUUUACUACUAGAGCCUAGAGAUGGAGUGAAGCAUAUUGGGAAUUAGGAAAAGAGAGUUGCUUCCUUACAAUUAGGCAGGCGCUAAGUUACGGUUAACGUAACUUACGCCCACACACAGUAACAGUACCACUGGUGGGGCCUGGUACUGUUGCUACGUAAGUUACGUUAUGCCGAGUAGUGUUGUGCCCUAGAAUCUGUUCUACAUUUGCAGUUGUGACUGUUGAGCCAACUUGAUUUGCAAUGCUUUUAGGGAUAUUGUGCCCUGAAAAUUAAUCAAAACUACUUGUUAAAAAGAUUCCGUUUCGUUUUGAAUUUUUUUGUGCCUUUUACUAUUUUAUCCCUAUAAUUAGACUUAUGAUACAUAAAAUGUCAACAAUUAAUCAAUAAGAGAAAAAAAUUAGUCAUAAGUCUGAUUUUAAUGGUAAAAUAAAAAAUAGACAAAAAAGUACAAAGUUUACGUAAUCAUUUUAAUGCCAAAGAGUUUUAAUGAGUUUUGAAACGUAAGGAGAAAAAUAAUAAAUCUACUAGAACAAUAGGAAGAUUUUGAUCAUUUUCCCACUGAUAUAAAGAAAAACGAUACACACCACACGUCUUGAUAUUGAAAUCGUUGAUGGCGACACAAAAAUCCUGAAGACGGCUAGGGUCAGAGGCAAUGGCCAAUGAACAAGCCAAAACCAAGAGAACAGAAGCUACAGGAAAUUGAACUCCUUUCAUGUUGAUUAGCCACAUGCAAUUCCUUGCUACAUGCAUGCAAAUGUUCAACAUUAUGUGUGAUUGCUCUUAUCAAGCGACAUCAACUAGUCAUCUACCAAUUGAUCUUGGGGCUCAAUAGAAUCUGUUUCACAUCAGAUUUUGCAUAACAAAAAGUAAUGAAGAGAUUAAUUAAUAUAUGUGUGUGUGUGUGUGUACGGAAAAAAUAUAUGUAUAAGGAGAGGCAUGGGAAAGGCUUAGCUGCUAAAUAAAAACAACCAUAAAUUAUGUUUAUUAAAUGGCUACAAUCAGCCUGAAGAGAGGUUCAUGAGAGAGCUUUUUUUUUAACAUUAAUUAAGAUAUGAUAAUCUGGAGCUAAAACAAUAAAGCCACUAGUGAAGAGGCCAUUUAUAUUAAAGCUCAUUAAUUCCUUCUCCUAAUCGCCAUUAAUGAACUUAUGCUGAAGAUCUUUCACUGUCUUCGGGUCCAACUGGAACGCCUUGGCAAGAAAAUCGGGAUUGAUUGGAGGAUUGGCUCCAAAGACCGCGUCGGCUAUGGUAAUUUCACCGGGGAACUGGCUGUUUAGAGCAGAAUAGGCAACUGCAUUUGUUUUUCCAAUGUUGAAUUGGAAAUGAAUCAAACCAAUUGGAAACACAAAAGCAUCUCCCUUAUUCAGAACUUUUGAGAUGAGUGUGUUAUUCAGUUGGUCUGAUGUCACAAAACCGACGUGAAGAGUUCCUUCCAGGACCAACAGGAUUUCACUGGCACGGGGGUGAAUAUGAGGUGGCCUUUGGCCAUAUGGCGCAUAGUCAAUACGGAAUGCUGAUAUGCCAAGGGUAUUGAGUCCUGGAAUUUGCUCCACAUUUGCAUCUGUUUCAUCAACACCAAGUCGAUUUGCUGUGUUUCCAGGCUUGCCAAGCCCGGAAAAGAAGAAAUCUUCUGCUCUCGCAAGCUUGGGGUCCUUGCAGAACUUCCCAUUCACAAACACUACAAGAACGCACAACACAUACGCACAAAGGGGGGGAAAAAGGAAUAAUUAAGUAGCAGCACAAAUUAUAUUGAAAAUUAUAUCUUUCGACAGUUCAGCUUACUUACCACCAUCCUUGGGGUUAUUGAUGGCUACACAGAUAUCUUGAAGAGGGCUAGGGUCAUAGGCAGAGGCCAAAGAAGAAGCCAAAGCCAAGACAGCAAAACCUAUAAGAAAUUGAAUUGCCUUCAUGGUGAUUAAUUAACAGGAACUUUAAUCAAGUGUUGUGAUUUGAGAAUAUAGCGAGGGAACCUAGCCUAUUUAUAGAACGGAGUCCAUGAACGAGUCUGUGAGUUCAAUUUCUUAGUCCUCGAAGCAGGAGAAGACUAACAGAGUCCUCAUUGGUUAUCUUUCUUAGGGCCUGUUCGGUAAUUUUUUCCUCUCAUCUUAAAAUAUAAUUUUUUCCUCUCAUCUUCUUCCUCUCUCUCUCUCUCCCUCGUCGUCAAAUCUUAUCUCUAAGUGUCUCAUCUUCUUCCUUUCUCUCCCUUACCAAGUUAUACUGCUUUUUCCUUUUUUUUUGAUCAUUUUUUCAAUUUAUUAGGAAAUUGGUGGGUGAAGCAGACACGCAGCUAAAAUGAAAUUGUAAGAAAAUAAAGAACAAGCACAAAAAAUAGACACAAAAAAUUACGUGGUUCGGCUUUUAGCCUACGUCUACGGGCGAAGACAGAAGGAAAUAUUUUACUAGUGAAAAAGAGUUACAAGUAUUGUAGUAUUUUAGCUCACUUCCCAAAACCUCAAUACACCCAAACUCUCAGAACACUAAUCACUCAAGAGUUUAUUAAACUCUUAAUACUCUCAACUCUAAAGGAAGGCAAUGCUUCUCUCUCUCGAUGGAAUUGAAUGCAAAAUGAAAUGGGGAGCUCUGCCUUUUAUAGCCAAAAAAUGGCUAUUAAAUUAUUAUUAUCUUCUUCUUUCUUUUUCUUUUUUUCUUCAUUCCAAAUUUGCUGCUGCCAAAUUCUUCUUCUUUUUCUUUGGACGACACCAAAACCUUCAACAUUUUCUUUGGCCGGCUGUCAAAGCCAACUUUGCUUAUUCAAGGCUUCUAGAUGUUGCAGCCAAUUUUGACAUUCUCUCACUUGGAGAUUAGAUUGAGAAUCAAUCAAUUUCCACACUAUCCUUUUCUGCUUCGCCAUUGUCAUGUUGCCUACGUUUCUGUUAGGCCACAAGAGGAUCUACUCCAGAUAAACUUGUUAGCAUUUAUCGGCUUGGUCAAAACAUCUGCUGGGUUCUCCUUCGUAUGGAUUUUCUGUAAAUCCACAUUUCCGUCUUCCACUACUUCUCGAACGAAGUGAUACUAAACUCCUAUGUGCUUUGUCCUGGAAUGAAAGGCUUGAUUCCUUGCAAUGUGCAAGGCACUCUGACUGUCACAAAACACAUAAAUUUUCUCUUGUUUGUGCCCGAGCUCCUCCAAUAAUCUUUAUAUUCAAAUAGCUUCCUUGCAAGCUUGUGUAGCUGCCAUGUACUCUGCUUCUGUUGUAGAUAAAGCCACAACGGUCUGCAGUUUCAAAACACAGCUUACAGCUGCUCCCGCAAGUGUAAACACAUAACCAAUAGUGGAUUUUCUUUUAUCGAGAUCUCGUACAAAAUCUGAAUCCACAUAGCCCCUGACAGUAAACUCUGAUCCUCCAUAACAUAAUGCAACAUCUGAGGUUCCUUUGAUGUAUCUCAUAAUCCUCUUUACAACUAUCCAAUGCUCUCCACCGAGAUUCACCAUGUAUCGACUGACUACUCCCACUGCUUGUGCAAUGUCUGGUCUAGUACAUAUUAUAGCGAACAUUAAACUUCUCACUGCUGAUGCAUACGGUACUCAAGACAUCUCUUUCCUCUCUGCUUCAUUACUAGGACACAUACUUGAGGAUAAUUUGAAAUUAACAGGAAGUGGGGUAGAAAUUGACUUACAAUCUUGCAUGUUGAAGCGCCGCAAGAUUUUCUUCAAGUAAUUCGUCUGUGAAAGCCAAAUCUUUCUGUUAUUUAUGUCUCGGUGAAUUUGCAUCCCUAAAAUCUUGUUUGCUGGUCCCAAGUCCUUCAUUUCAAACUCCCUAGCCAACUGUGCCUUCAAUUCUUGGACUCGAUCUUUGUUGGGGCAUGCUACCAGCAUGUCAUCCACGUACAACAACAAAAUAAUGAAAUCAUUAUCUUCAAACCUCUUGUAAUAUGCACAAUGGUCUGAACUGAGUCUGUUGUAUCCAAGGCUCAUGAUGAAGGAAUCAAAUCUCUCAUACCAACACCUCGGCGCCUGUUUGAGACCGUAUAGAGUUUGGUUCAACUUGCAAACCAAGUUCUCCUUUCCUGAUUCUGCAAAACCUUCUGGUUGGAGCAUAUAUAUUUCUUCUUCAAGUUCUCCAUGAAGAAAUGCAGUUUUCACAUCCAACUGCUCUAGAUGUAGGUCAAAUGUAGCACACAUUGCCAAGACUACUCUGAUUGUUGUGAGUCGAACCACCGGAGAAAAUAUCUCGUUGAAGUCAAUACCUUCUUUCUGAGCAUAUCCUUUCACCAUCAGUCUUGUACGAUACCGCUCCACUUAGUCAUUGCCAUCACGUUUGAUCUUAUAGACCCAUUUGUUACCAAUGGCUUUUCUUCCACAUGGUAGCGAUACAAGUUCCCAUGUCUUGUUCUUGUGUAGAGCCUUAAUUUCUUCCUGCAUUGCUGUCAUCCACAAAGCAACAUCUGAGCUGUUUAAAGUUUGCUUCAUGGAAAAUUGAAGGCUCUCCAUCCUCUGUUAGAAGACAAUAUGCAACGUUGAUCUCUGUGACAUACUCCGAGUGCCACGUUGGCGGUCGUCUCUCACGAGUUGACAGACAAACUUCUGGAGCCUCGGACUCGACUGGUUCUUGUUCCUCGUGCUCUGGUGCUGCUUCAGAAGAAUCAGAAUCUUCUGGGUUAUUUUCCACAUAUAUCGGUAUAGUCUCUGACUUUUCUUUUACAGUGCCAUCAUCCUCAUCUCUCUUUUGCAGUUGAUCUUCUACAAAAAUAACAUCUCUGCUGAUGACGAUCUUGUGGGCAGUGGGGUCCCACAGACGAUACUCUUUUACUCUAUCAGCAUAUCCCAAGAAGAUACAUCUUCUAGAUUUUGGAUCCAGCUUUGUUCUUUCUUGGGCAUUGUACAUCACGUACACAGGACAUCCAAAUGCAUGUAGGUAGGAAUAAUCAACUGGCUUUCCAAUCCACAUCUUCAUCGAUGUCUUCAGCCCAAUAGCUGUAGAUGGCGACCGAUUUACUAUAUAACAAACAGUUUUGGCUGCUUCUGCCCAGAAUGAAUUGGGUAGACCAGCAGUCCUCAACAUAGCUCUUAUUCUUUCUGUAAGAGUUCUGUUCAUCCGCUCUGCCACUCCGUUUUGUUGAGGAGUGUAUGCUACAGUGAACUGUCUCUGAAUACCUUAUUGCUUACAGAAAGUAAGAAACUCGCCGUCUGUAUAUUCUCCACCAUUAUCCGUCCUCAAGCACUUGAUCUUUUUACCAUAAUCAAGUUCCACCCGCGCUUUGUAUUCUUUAAACACUGGAAAUACAUAUGACUUUUUCUUAAUUGGAUACACCCAACAUCUUCUGGAAUAAUCAUCAAUGAAAGUCACCAUGUACUUUGCACCUCCUAUGGAUAUAUCCGGUGAUUCCCAAACAUCAGAAUGAAUUAAGUCUAGAAUGCAUUUACUUCUAGCAAUAGAUCUACUGAAUUUUAAUCGAUGCUGCUUACUUAUAACACAAUGCUCGCGAAAUAGUAAACUUACCGAUUUGAGCCCUGGAAGCAAUUUUCGCUCAGAGAGAAUCUUCAAAUCUUGUUCUGACAUGUGGCCAAGUUUGAGAUGCCACAUCAUCGUUGACUCUUCUCCAUUUGAUGCGACACACGCAUCAGCCUCCUGUAGUGUUUCUCCUUUAAGCAUGAAUAGAUUAGCACCGAUCUUUUCUGCCUUCAUCAAUACAAGCGCUCCUUUAACAAUCUUCAUAAUUUCAUUCUCCACAUAAGUUUUGCACCCAUGACUGUCUAUUUGUCCCAAAGACAAUAGAUUUUUUUUUAGGCCAUUGACAUGUCGUACCUCCCCAAUUGUGCUAAUUGUACCAUCAAAUAUUUUUAUUUUGAUAGUACCAAUACCAGCGAUCUCCAAGGCAUGAUCAUUACCCAUAUAUACAGAUCCUCCUGAGAUAGGUUCAUAUGUGUGGAACCAUUUUCUCCUAGAGGUCAUGUACCAGGUAGCUCCUGAGUCUAUAAGCCAGACAUCAGAUAGUCGUUUUCUGCCUUCUGAAACAAUUGUUGCCUCGCUGUAAAGAAUUUCGCCAUCAUCCGAGGUACUUGCUACACACCCCUGAGCAUUUGAUGACUCAGGUUCUUUGUCGUAUUUUCUCUUCUGGUUACUCCAACACUCUUUCUUGACGUGCUCUUUCUUGCCACAGUUGUAACAUUUAACAUUCUUCUUACUUCUGGAUUUUGAUCUACCGUGAUUUUGACUCCCACUGGGGCCACGUUUCUUUGAUCUCCCUCUCGUCACCGAUAGCACCUCCGCUUGUUGCGAACUUGCUUGUCUAUUUUUCUUAUUUUUCCGUCUGCUCUCCUCAUUUAUUACGGAGGCUGCAACAUCGUCGAAAACUAGAUUGGCUGCUGGAUUGUUGUUUGUCAGGUUGAUGAUGAGUUGAUCAUACAAAUCUAGUAGACUUUGAAGUAGAAGCUCUGCACGUUCAUUUUCCUCUAUAUUAUGACUCAACGUUGUAAGUUGUGAAAAUAGAGUCUUCAAGGUGUUGAUGUGGUCGGUCACCAUUGUAGAUUCCACCAUUCGAAGAGUAUAGAGUUUCCUCUUCAAGAAGAUUUUGUUGUGUAGUAACUUGGCCUCGUACUAUUUUGUGAGAGUAUCCCAAAUUUCCUUCGCUGUAUUUUUCUCUGCCACACUGGAUAAUACUCCGUCUGCAAGUGCCAAGUGUAAAUCAGAAAUGGCGUUGCCAUCUAUCUCGUUCCACUUGUCAUCAGUUAUCUCCAUGGGCCUUUCUCCAAUUGCUGCCAAGCAAUUAUUUUUCCUCAAUACAGCUUUCAUCUUCAUUUUCCACAACGAAAAAUUAUUUCUGUUAAACUUCUCAAUUUCAUACUUUGCCGCCAUUUUGUUGAUAAAUACCGCACACAAGCUAGUGUACCACCUUGAAUAGUUGUGAGUAUGUGUGAGAAUGUACACCAGGAAAGUUCCCAGGAAAGACUAGAGGGGUCACAAUGGUCCCACUUAAAACUCAGACUCCUUAAGCUCUUAUUAUCUAUGUGAUAGAAUUUUCCUAGACAUGUACAAAACCACACAGUUGCUUUACUGACAUCAUUAUUCCCUGCUUUGCACCGUAAAAUUCUUGGUCGCUCCCACCGUUUCACGUGAAUAGUACCGUAUACGUGAAUAGUAUCGUAUACGCGAACAGUACCGUAUACAUAAAUAGUACCCCUUACGUGAACAAUACCUCAACUCCAAAAAUACAACCAAUAGCUCUGAUACCACUGUUAAGAAAUUGGUGGGUGAAGCAGACACGCAGCUAAAAUGAAAUUGUAAGAAAAUAAAGAACAAGCACAAAAAAUAGACACCAGAAAUUACGUGGUUCGGCUUUUAGCCUACGUCCACGGGCGAAGACAGAAGGAAAUAUUUUACUAGUGAAAAUGAGUUACAAGUAUUGUAGUAUUUUAGCUCACUUCCCAAAACCUCAAUACACCCAAACUCUCAUAACACUAAUCACUCAAGAGUUUAUUAAACUCUUAAUACUCUCAACUCUAAAGGAAGGCAAUGCUUCUCUCUCUCGAUGGAAUUGAAUGCAAAAUGAAAUGGGGAGCUCUGCCUUUUAUAGCCAAAAAAUGGCUAUUAAAUUAUUAUUAUCUUCUUCUUUCUUUCUUUUUUUCUUCAUUCUAAAUUUGCUGCUGCCAAAUUCUUCUUCUUUUUCUUUGGACGGCACUAAAACCUUCAACAUUUUCUUUGCCCGGCUGUCAAAGCCAACUUUGCUUAGUCAAGGCUUCUAGAUGCUGCAGCUAACUAUGGCCAAUGGGUCGUGCUGUGCCGGCACGGCCCACCAACUAUCGGCCCACAAGGGCUCGUGGGCCGGCACGGCACGACCCACUAAAUUGGUGGGCCGUGCCGUGCCGUGCCUAUAUUUUUUUCAAUUGAGCCCGGCACAGCCCAUGGCACGAUCCCGCUCGUGCCAUGCUCGUGCCGUGCCGUGGGCCAUGCCCAAAAAAAGCCCACCAAUUUUUAUUUUUUUUUAGCGUGCUUAAAAAAGUCCACGUGCCUAGCGUGCUUUAUUCAAGCCCACGUGCCUGACAUGCUUUUUUAAGCCCACCAACAUAAUAAUAAUAAUAAUAUUCACAAUCAUAAUCAUAUUAAUUUUUAUUAAGAGAGCAAUUAACAUUUUAUUAUUAGUUUAUCACAAUUUCACAACUAUAUAUUUUAUUUCACAAUAAUCAAUCAUAAUUCAUAACACAACAAUACAUAAAUUUAAUUCCAUAGAUCAUAAUAAUAAUUAAUUAAAAUUAAAAAUACAAUCCUCGAAUAAUCAUUACAAUAAGUCAUAACUACGAAAUAUUAAUAUAACAAAUCAUUUAUUUAAACUAAGAUUUAAUGAUUUAAAUUAAUUUUUAAAAGUCUAUGCUAAAAAAUAUAUUAAAACAUUUAAUUUCAUAACAUUUAAUAUUUACUUUUUGUUAAAAAAAAUUACUUAGAUAUAUUUUGACCCAGGUGCUAUUAAUGGCUCACGGGCCGCGUGCUAGCCCACUAAUAAACCGUGCUUUUUCGCGUGCCGUGCUUUGGCCCAUCUCUAAUCGUGCCGUGCUUGAAGGCCCGCGUGCCUAAAAUUCUAGGCCCGGCACGGCCCACGUGCGUGCCGUGCCGUGCCUCGUGCCUCACCGAAACGUGCUCGUGCCGUGCCGUGCCGUGCCGUACGGACACGUGCCGUGCCCGUGCCGUGCCACGUGCCGCCCGACCCAUUGGCCACCUUUAGCUGCAGCCAAUUUUGACACAAUUGACAUUGUGUUUUCCUUCAAUUUACUCAACUCAUUGGAAAGAAACGAGUUGAAGAAUUUAUGACAAUGGGUGAGAAAGAAAUUCACGUCUUUGGCAACAGACUAACAGUUGAGAGUCAUGUUCUGUAGAUAUCGAUGUUUCUGGACCUGAUUGGUUUGUCGUUGGACUUAAUGGAGAGGCAAGAUUAGGCUUUUUUUUUUUUUUCUUUUCAUAGCAACUUUCGUAGCUUCUUUAACCAUUUUUAGUUCUAUUAACGCUUUACCAAGUCAAUGAUGCACGUGUUUUUUUCAUAACGUGUUAAAGUCACAAAUCAUCUGCUUCAAGAGAAAACAGACUAGGAUCAGAAAGGAACCAAAAGUCUNNNNNNNNNNNNNNNNNNNNNNNNNNNNNNNNNNNNNNNNNNNNNNNNNNNNNNNNNNNNNNNNNNNNNNNNNNNNNNNNNNNNNNNNNNNNNNNNNNNNNNNNNNNNNNNNNNNNNNNNNNNNNNNNNNNNNNNNNNNNNNNNNNNNNNNNNNNNNNNNNNNNNNNNNNNNNNNNNNNNNNNNNNNNNNNNNNNNNNNNNNNNNNNNNNNNNNNNNNNNNNNNNNNNNNNNNNNNNNNNNNNNNNNNNNNNNNNNNNNNNNNNNNNNNNNNNNNNNNNNNNNNNNNNNNNNNNNNNNNNNGAGAGAGAGAUGAAGCAAAACGACAACUUGAAUUUUAGUUUCUCUCAGCUUUCUCUCGUUCUUCUAGCCAUCUACCAGCACUCAAAGAGAAUAAUUCUUUGCAUAAUUAAAGCGUCAAAAAGAAUUAUUCUCUUUGAGUGUUGCUAUAUGACUAGAAGAACGAGAGAAAGCUGAGAGAAACUAAAAUUCAAGUUGUCGUUUUGCUUCAUCUCUCUCUCUUCUGUCAGCUUUUUCUCUCUCUCUCUUCUCUCAGCACAUGCUUCAUUCUCUCAACUUUCUCUCAUUCUUCUUGAUACUUAGCAUUUUCCUUAUGUAAUUGAUCCCCUGUCAUUGGGAUUGUACCAUUAUAUAUUAUUUGGUGUUUGUUUUUUAUUUAAAAUCUGAAUAAGUUUAAAGUAGUAUGAAUUUUAAAUAAAUUUAAAUGCAUGAAUUUGAAUAACGUAUUUAUUUAUUUUUUGUCACAAACUUUGAGAAUAAAUAUUAAGUUAUUUUUAACUUAAAAAAUCUAAAAAUCAAAACCUUUACAUUUGUGUCCUUACAAUUUUAAAUGUUAAAUAUAUAAUGAACAUCUCAAAAAAUAUAAGUAAGAUAGUAUUUUAUCAUAACAUAAAUGGUGCUCAAUGAAUGCAACCUAUUAAUAUUCUAAAUUAGAAUUAUAUUAAUAAAUUUUGUGAAGAUAAAUAAUUCUAGUUUGAAGAAAAUAAAAAGAUAAAAAUAAUGAUAAUUUACUACUAUAUUAGUAAGCUUUAUUUAGGUAAGGAGGAAAAUAAAUUAAUUAGAUAAAGGUAUUGCAGAGAAUAUUUUUCAAUGAUGUGAUUCAAAAUUUUCAGAUUAAGUAAAAAACUAAACAAAAUAAUUAGCUUAAAAACUUAAUGACUUAUCAAUCACUAAAUUUUUUUAUUAAAUUGAAAAAAUUAAUAGAAUUAUGGUCCAUUUAGGAUUUAUUUCGGGAGGUGCUUUUGAAAAGUUUAAAAGCUAAUUUUGAUGUUUGACAAUUUUUUUAAAAAAAUCACUUUUAGCAAAAUCACCCUAUCAUACAACAAAUUUUUAAAAGUAGAGGAAGAGUAGUUUUUUAAAAUCUGAUUUCGAGAAUCACUUUUAUACUUAAUACAAUUUCAUAUAUAUUUUGAUAUAUAGGAAAAAAUCCAAAACCAUCCUUAUAAAUUAGAAAAUAAAAUUAUUAAUUUUAAAGAGAUUAUUAUUAUUACCAAUUCUAUUGAGAUAACAAAAUAAAAAAUAAAAUUAAUAAUAUAAAAUAUAUAUUUUAGUUAUCAAUUAUUAUUUAUACACAACUAAAAAUAUUUUAUUUACAUGUUUAUAAAUGUGUAAAUAAUUUUUAUUCAACAAUAUGUUUAAUUUAAUUAUUUACAUUGUUAAAAUAUUUUAACAGUAAGAUCUACUAAACAUUUAAUUGAUUCUCUACACAGCUGAUUAUUUCUACAGUAUAGCUAACAAUAAUUAUUUUAAAAUUUAUAACAUUAUCAAACUGACCCUUAGUGAUUUAAUUGACUAAAAUUAAGUCAAUUAAAUCAUUAAGUUAGGAAAACAAACUGCCCUUUAGUAAAUUUCUUAAUGCAAAUAUUAUUAAACUAUAAUGCAAUUAAAAAUAAUAAUCUCUUCCUCUAUUCACUUUUUUAAUUACAAUUAGUUUCAGUAGCUAUUUUGAAUGACAAACUGAAUUGAUCGCGAUAUAAUAAUCUCUUCUUUCAAUCAUAUGAGCAUGUUUGAGCCACUGAGGUAGCUGUGGGAAUUUGUUUUCGUUGAUUUCUGCACUGGGCUUUUUAGGAUUAUUUGUAAAGGCAUUAAUUAAGUAUUUUUAAUGGGUUUAUAUGUAAAUUAGAUUGUAUGUAAUAUUAAAGGUUUGUCAACCAAACUGGCAACCAUUAAUUAAGUUAAAAUCCAUUCGUGUCAGUAUUUAAGAUACGUGUCACAUUCUGGCAACAAUCUUAAUAUGUGUUUCCAUUCGAACUUUCCACUGGCUGCUUGACCCAUCUAAGUUAUGAAAAAGUUUCUGAGAAAAUGAAAAAAUAAUCCAUGGCCGUGGAAAUAAUCGAACGCCGCCAGCUGUAUUGUAUGAUUCUAUGAGCGAUUUAUCAUUUCUUUUUUCUUUUUAUUUCGACAAUUUAUUACUGACUACUGUAUUGCAGGCUUGUAGCCAUUAAGUGUUUGGAUAAUUUAUCCCAUUAUUUUCAAAUAUAAUCCAGAUAUAAUUCUAGAUUAUGCUGGUAGAAACAUCGUCUCAAAGAUUCUAUUGGGUCAUCAAUAGCUGUAUAUAUCUUGAAGGGGACUAAUUUUUCUAGGAUAUGCUGGUGGAAAAUUUUGCCCCACGUAACUACUAUGAAUGAGUCUCUGUUGCUUAAUUAAGACUCUAAUCUCUCUUUCUAGACUGCAAGGUAAGUUUAAGCUAGAAACAUUAUAUCAAGGUGUACACAUUUUCAUCAAAUAUAAUUGUAGACUUUCUGGUCACACAUUUUACCAUUUAGUCCAUAAUUUUUCAAAAUACCUAUUACGUUUCUAAUAUUAUACUUUUAUGUUUGAAUUAGUCUGUUGAGCUAUACAUGUGACUUUUUAACAUAGAAUACCCUACAUACCUUUUAGUAGGGGAUUUAAAAAAAAGAGCGCAUUAUAUUAAACUAAGGUAGCAUUUGUUUUUUUUUUUUUUUGUCUGAAAUCUAAAUGAAUCUGAAUUUUUCUAAAGUCUGAAUGGGUCUGAUUACGAAAAUUUAAAUAAUAUGUUUAUUUUUCUUUUUUAAAUAUCUGAAUAUAAGUGGCAUUUUGUUUGUUUUUAAAAUAAAAACAUCUUAAACUUAGUUAUUUGACAUUUAUGUCCUUGUAAAUUCAAAAAAAAAAAGAGAAUUAGAUUUUAUAGUUUAGGAAAUAAGUUAUUUUACAGAGAUAUUUUUAGAAUAUAAUAUUUACUUGUCUUUCAGACCUUUUUUCAUACAGAUAAAAGUCACAAAGUUUAUUUUUUCUAUUCAUAUGUAAAUGUCUGAAAAUCAGACAUAAGUUCCAAAAAAACAAACAAGUAUAUUUUAGAAAAGAUCUGAAAUUAAUAAAAUUUCAAACUUCAGACAUUUAACAAACAAUCUCUAAGUGUAUGUUUAAUAUGAUUUAUCUAAUGGUCAUAAGUGCUUAUCUAAUCCCAUAAAUUCCUUUUAAAAUUAUUAUUAUUGUUUGAUUGCAUUUUAAGUAAAGUUUUUAAGGAUUAAAUAAAUUUUUUUGUCUCUACUAACAAAAGCUUAAAUUUUAAAAUUUUGAGAGUAUAGAUUAGAGAGACCUUUUAAAAAGUUAAAUCGUCCAAAAUGUUCCAUUAUUUAUUUCACAAUAUUAUGACAUUUCUCUCUCUCUCUCUCUCUCUCUCUCUCUCUCUCUCUAUAUAUAUAUAUAUAUAUAUAUAUAUAUAUAUAUAUCUUAAUUUUAAAAAUUGAUCUAUUAAAAUAAUUUUAUAUAAUUUUUAACAAAGAUCUCAUCGACAACCAAACAACUAAAAUUUCUUUAAUAAAAGCUUCACUUAUAAAAAUUUUACUAACAAAAAUUUUAUUUGAAUAAAUUUUAUCAGAAAAAUUAUACCAAACGAAGCUAACAAUAAGAUUAUAAUAGUAAAAGAAUUCAAUAAUUGCACUCUUAAUGUUACCAUUUAAAAAUUAUUAAGUUAAGAAUGAAAUAGGUAAUUUGGGAAACCCAUCUGGAGGAAUUUGCUUAACAUCCUUUAAAAUUUUUUCCCAGCUGGAAGUAAUUGCUGAACAUCCUUUUCAAUUCCCGAGUAUUAUCUAAUCAGCUUAUUUUGUCAUUUUUAGGUGUUUGCAAAGGCUUUUGGCAAGGAUACUGGGUUGGCUUACGUGUAGUGGACUGAUCAUGUUGACUUUGUUCGGUAGCACAUUUUAUUUUACGCGUGUCUAGUUGUAACCAUGUCUCUCACUGUAUACACCAGUGUGAGUGGGUCCACCUACUAUUUUAUGACAAUUUAUGUUAUACUGACAAUAUUAUUCGUGCUGAUCACAAGUUUGAAGUUUUGCUUCUCUCGAAGAACUGGCUCCUUUCAUUUAUUUAUUUAUUAAAAUUUACAUUUUUUUUCCGUUUCCUUGCAAGAAAGGUAAUUAGAUUAAAUUUAACGGGGCGAUGAUGUUUUCCAUUAAAUAAGUAAAACACAAUUUUAUGCCAGAGUAGAAAUGGCCAAUCAAAACAAGGGUUAUCCAUGUUCGUGCCAUGCCGUCGUGUGCUUAAUUUUUUUUUCUCGUACCUUGCCCAUAUGUGUUGUGUUGUGUCUAAAAAAAAGUUCAAUAAUUUUUUUUAGUUUUUUAAAAGCGCGUACUAAGUAAUUGGUAUAUUUUUUUUAAGUUUAUAUUUUUUUUAGGUCUAUACCUUUAUUCAAAUUUAAUAGAAUUGAAAAUUUAAAACUCAAGUCUAUAUUUUAUAAUAAUAAACUAAUAAUAGUAAGAUAAUGUAAUGUUAAUUUUUAAGUUUGACAUUUUAACAUUAUUUUUUUUUAUACUUAACAACAACAACAAUAAUAAAUUUUUCUUAAGGGUUAACUUAAUUGUUAACUUAGGUGGCGUUUGUUUUUUUGUCUGAAAUCUGAAUAGACCUGAAUUAGUCUGAAUUCUGAAUAGAUCUGAAUAUCUGAAUCUGAAUAAUAUGUUUGUUUUUUCGUCUGAAUCUUGAAAAAUAAGUAUUAAGUUGUUUGUUUUUUUAACUUAAAAAGCUGAAAAUAUAUACUUUUACAUUUGUAUCCUUAUUAAAUUUGAAUGUCAAAUAAAUAAUAUAUUAAAUACCAUAAUAUUUUUACAUUUAUAAAUAAAACUAUAUUCAAGUGAAUACAUAAUUAUUUUGGAAUUUUAAUAUAUAAAAUACCAUAAAUUUCAAAUUUUAUCGUAUAUAAUAUAAGAAAGAAAAAACAUGGAUAUUUUUAUGUGGGGUAAAUGUCUAUGGGUGAGUUUUGGGAUAGACAUGAAAAAUAAAUUAUAAAGCAGGGAUAUUUUUGACAUUAGCAAGUAAUUGACUUAAUUAAGAUUUCUCCAUUAAGUAAAAAGCCAAAAAAAUUGGCUUAUUUUAUUAAGUCAAAAUUAUCAAAAAAGUCUCAUUAAGUUAUAAAAACAAACAUCUCUAAUUAACUUAAUUAAUUAAGUUAAGUCACUUUAAGUCAUUAAGUUAAAAAACAAACGCCACCUUAGACUUACAUAGAGUCAUAGAUCAUAAUUCACAAUAAUAUUAAUGGAUAUUUAUAAAAUCAUAAUAAUUAUAAUUUUAUUUAUUAAAAUCAUGAUAUCAAUUAUAUAUUUAAUAAAUUAUAAAUAUAAAUCAAUUAUAGUACUUUUUAAACUAAGAAUUAAAUGAAUUUAAAAAAUUCAUUUUCAAGUUAUUUGUAAAACUAUAAAAUUUUAAGUUUACUUUCAUUAAAAAAUAAAAUGUGCUUAUUGUGAACUUUUUUAUCGUGCUAUACUUAGUCCAUUUCUAAUCAUGUAGUGCUUUUAAUGCUCGCGUGCUUAAAAUUUUAAGUCUGGCCCAGUCCACGUGCGUACUGUGCCAUACCACAUACCCUACCAAAACGUGUUGGUAUUGUGCCGUACUGUACGAAUACAUGUUGUGCCAUGUGUCAUCUAGUCCAUUGGCCAUCUCUACGCCAGAGUGACAAUAUGCCACAUUGAGAAGAAUUGUGUGCCCCUAAAGCUGGAUUAAUAAUUUAAUUUGAAUUGACAUCUAUAACAGUUGUAGGCUAACCAAUAUUUCCACAGAAAAAAGUAGUUCAAAAUUAUUGGUCGCAUCUUGUCAUAAAUUUUUUAACUCUGCGCAGUUGGUGUAAUAGUUUCGGCUGCUAUUCUCUUUACUACUAGAGCCUAGAGAUGGAGUGAAGCAUAUUGGGAAUUAGGAAAAGAGCGUUGCUUCCUUACAAUUAGGCAGGCGCUAAGUUACGGUUAACGUAACUUACGCCCACACACAGCAACAGUACCACUGGUGGGGCCUGGUACUGUUGCUACGUAAGUUACGUUAUGCCGAGUAGUGUUGUGCCCUAGAAUCUGUUCUACAUUUGCAGUUGUGACUGUUGAGCCAACUUGAUUUGCAAUGCUUUUAGGGAUAUUGUGCCCUGAAAAUUAAUCAAAACUACUUGUGAAAAGGCGAUUUGAACUCAAAAUUUUGCUUUCUACACCCAUUUUCUCAACACACCCACAACAUAAAUUUGAAAAAUAAAAUUAUACUCUAUGAAUCCUUCAAAAAUCCAAAAAUAACCCUAUAUUAUCUUCGUUCACUUUUUUCUUCCCUCUCCCUUCUUAUACAGUAUUGAAUGGUGACAACAACUUUGAUUCACCUUGCUAAUAUUAAAAACUAUCCUAAUUGACAAAUCCAUGAAGAAAUAAACUUUGAUGAUGUGCACCAAUAAAUUGAAAAUUUUGAGCCAACAACAAACUACUGAAUAUAUUACGGAUGGGUUUACAUUGAAAUUGUCCAUUUCUUUUUCAUCCAUUGCCUUUCACGAAAAUCUUUAUAAUUUCAUAUUAUAACUGCAAGAUGCAAAAAAUUCUUCAUGUUUUUUCAUCUAUCGCCAUAAUUGCCAUAGAGUUCAUUAGCUUAAUUAACUAUUAGUUAUACAUAUCAAGGAGUCUAUUUUUCCUUUAAGUCUUGAAUCAUCAAAUUCAAAUAUUUCUAUUGUUCGAUUUUUCUAUCUGAUUGUGUAUUUUCAUGAGAUGCAGAAAAUUAUUUUUAGCUUAUGCAGAAUUUUCAUUUUCUCAGUAACUAAGUUUUUUUUUUUUUUUGGUCUGUCCUUAAUGGUAAUUGUCAUAAAGGGUAAUUUGACAAUACAAGUUAUUGUGAAAUUAUAGGUGUAAAGAGUUGUUUUGUGGGUUUAAAUAGUCCCACCCUUUGCGGAAUUAUUUAUUAAACAUCUAAAUUAAUAGUAUGUAUGAAAUAAAUGGCAUCCCACACAAAUAUAAAUAAUAAUUUUACUUGAAUUAAAUACCCAAAUCCUAUAUUAUAAUAUUAUGCGUAAGAAAAUUUACACAUACUAUCAUUUUAUUAAAAUUUGGACUAGCUGAAGAAUAUUAUUCAUUCAGAUUUAUCAACCAUAAGUCACUUUGUUAAACCAUGAUUAUUGUAGAAUGAAAAAUCAUUCUUGUCAAGUAUAAAUGGACGAACUGUUUAUUGUCAACCUUUAUAUAGUUGUAUAAAUAAUUAAUCUUUGUAUAACUUAAAAUUAUUGUUUAUGCUAUCAGUCGUAAUGAAUUGGAAGUAGAUGAUUUUAAUUUGCAAAUGGUUUGGCUUCCAUCUCUGUAACUAUUUUAGUAUUUUUUUUUUUUAAAAAGCUCAUUAAACAAAUAAAGUUGACUAAAGUAUUCUCUAAAUGCCGACGGCUUUAGUUAACAAGGCUCAAAAACUUUUAAGAAGAAUUGGGCCUGAAAUGAUAAUGCAUGGUGGAUAGAUUCUAAUGCAACCAAGCAUGUGUGCAAAGAUCAUAGCCUUUUCACAUCUUACAAAGUAAUGGAUGAUAGGAAUGUUCUUUAUGUGGGAAAUUCCUUCAUGCAGCAAUUAAAAGAAAAGGCAACGUACAACUAGAGUAUAUUUAUGGAAAAAUCUUAACUCUUAUUGAUGUUUAUCAUAUACCUAAAGUUAAGAAGAAUCUUGCAUUUGGUUGCCUCAAUAAAUUUGGCUUCAAACCUGUAUUUGAGUAAAAAAUAAUUUAUAUUGUCUAAGGAUGCAUGUAUGAGGGAAAGUUUAAACUCAUUAAUAAAAUGAAUGUUUCUUCUACUUACAUGAUUGACUCAUUAUUUUUGUGGCAUAAUUAUUUAGGACAGGUGAAUAUUAGAAGAUUGCAUGAUAUAGCUAAUUUAGAAUUAAUUCCUAAAUAUGAAAAUGAUAUGCAUGAAAAAUGUAAAGUGUGUGCGUAGACUAAAAUCACAAGAACUCCUUUUCCAACAAUUGAAAAAAUAUAUUCUUUGAUGCAUUUAAUUCAUAGUGAUAUAUGUGAUAUGUAUAGUAAUCCUACUAAAGGUGGUAAAAAAUAUUUUGUAAUGUUUAUUGAUGAUUUUUCAAAAAUAUUGCUAUGUAUAUUUAUUACCUUCUAAAGAUCAAGUGUUAGCCAAAUCCAAAAUUUAUAAAAAUCAAGUUGAGAAUUUUUAUGACAUUAAAAUUAAAUGCAUCAGAAGUGAUAAAGGAGAUGAAUAUGCAUUUUUUGAAUUUUGUGAAUCUACUGGCAUUGUGCAUGAAACUAGUAUUGGAUAUACACGACAACAAAAUGGCAUAUCUAAAAGGAAGAAUAGGACGCUAAUAGAAAUGGUUAAUGUUACGAUUUUUAAUGUUGGGCUUGGUAAAGAUUUUUGCGAUGAAGCUCUUUUAACUAAAUGUCAUAUCUUGAAUGGUGUGCCUAAUAAGAAAACAAAAGCGAUCCCUUAUGAAUUAUGAAAAAAUAGAAAGCCUAAUCUUUCACUACUACAAAAUUAGUCAAUAAUGACGGUUCUAAGCGACAUAAAAUGACGGUUUUAAAACCGUCAUCUUAGGCAGCAACAUUAAAAGGAGUAUACUUUUUAUGACAGUUCAAUAACCGUCAUUAAAUGUAUAUUUUUAAUGACAGUUAUUUUCUAAAUAGUCAUUAUUUAUAGUAACUAUGUAUGUUUUCAUGAUGGUUAUUUCGUAUAACCGUCAUUAAAUAUAUACAUUUAAUGACGGUUAUAUGAAAUAACCAUUAUUAAAUAUACUUUUUCAUUAAUUUUUUAUGAUGGUUCUUUUUAAAAAAAAACCAUCAUUAAAUCCAUCAUUUUAAUGACAGUUUAUUGUAAAAACGUCAUUAAAUAUUAAAAUAACAUUUAAUUACGAUUUUAAAAAAGAACUGUCAUCUUUGUUGUUGAAGACUACAUUUAACGACGGUUCUUUUCAAAUAACCGUUAUCAUUGUUGUUAAUUAUUAAAAAAAAUAAAUAUGACAAUUUCAUAACCAUUUGAAGCCCCUAUUUUAAUUCUAAUUUCCUGUCAAAUUAUUUACAAUUUUUUUCCACAAAUGUUUCAUAUACAAAAAGAGAGCUCUACAAAAAUCUCUAAUAGUCAUUGAACUUCAACAAAAUAUCAAUUAGCUUUAACAUCAAAAUUCUCACAGCUCUUUAAUACCUACUAAUGAAUCUACUCACAACCAACAAAAUUGGCAUGUGUGAGUACAUCUAAUUUCUCAUCAAGUUUUCAAUUGCAAACGAAUCUCACCACCUUUAGCAAUCUACAUCAUUCUUACAAAGAAUAAAUAAAAAUUAAGAUAAAUUCAUAGAUUAUAAGUCAUAAUAAUUAAAUCAUUUUUAGUAACUUAAGUUGUAAACAAAACUUUAAAGUACCAAAUCAUUAUUAAUUAAUAGACUUACAUUAAAUUUAUCAACCAUGUGUUUAAGUAGUAACAAGUUGCUAUGUAUACAUGUAGGCCACUCCCAUUUAACUUUAUCAAUCUCUCCUUGAGUGUAAAUUUCAGUUCUGUAAAAAUAAAAAUUAAGAAGCAUAUUACUCUAGUUCCAAACUACAAAAAUAAGUAUUUGAUAAUAAACGACAAUACAUUUUUCAAAAUAGAGAAAAUCACAAAGCUUUUAAGCUUCUAAAUCACAAAUUAUAGGUAAAGCAAUUUAGAAUUGAAAUAUACUAUAGCAAUGAUGACUUACAUCCGCUAUUUGCAUAGACUAUCACUCAAAUCUAGCGAUUCGAUAUUCUCAAUUGAUGAAAAUAUGCAACAUGUCUAAAAUAAAUCUUGCAUGCUAACACAAUAAUAAAUUUUGAAAAAAGAAUUUGUACCUUUGCCCCUGGUCAAUUUGAAAAUGAUCUCAAAAAUUUUGAUGGCCAUGAGAAAAUUAACUAACGACCAACAAUUUAUUAUUGAUGUUGUCGGAGGAUUACCAAAUUGAGAAGGAAGUGCUAAAUUCUUGAAUAGCGUUGAGAACUUAAAAAAUCUGAAAUGGAACAUUUAAAAUAGAAAGUAAAUAUAAUUAUCAAUACUCAAAGAUAGUCCACACUUUAUUGCUUAAAAACUUGAGUGGAAAACCCAGCAAAAAAGAAAAGCAAAACAGUGUAAUUUCACUGGUAUUUUUGCUGCUGUCAUGCAGAAAAAACAUAGUAGUCUUACUGCAAAGUUUUUGCAGCUGUUUUGACUGUAUAACAGCGGGCAAAAACAGCAAAAGAAACUACAAUUUGGCUGCUGUUUUUACUGUUGUCAUGCAGUAAAAUAGAGCAGUCUUGCUGCAAAGAUUUUGCAGCUGUUUGGACUGUACAACAACAGCAAAAACAGCAAAAAAAACUAUAUUUUGGCUGCUGUUUUUACCGCUGUCAUGCGGUAAAGCAGAGCUGCUGUUUUUACCGCUGUCAUGCGGUAAAGCAGAGCUGCUGUUUUGACUGUAUAACAGCAGGAAAAACAGAAAAAAAAACUGUAAUUUGGCUGCAGCAAAAACAACAGAAAAACUAUAAUUUGGCUGCUGUUUUUACAUUUAUCAUGCAGUGAAAAUACAGCAGUCUCACUGCAAAAAUUUUGCUGCUGUUCUUACUGUAUAAAAAUAGUAAUACAUCACCUUAAAUAAGAGAAAAAAAUUCUUUCAGCUACUACACAUUUAAUUUAAUUCAACUUAAAUCCUUCAUAUUGUAGAGAGUGAGAGAUUGAUUCUAUAGAAUAAAGAGAAAUUAAGAUAAUUCAUAUAUUAUAAGCCAGUAUCUUCACCAUGACUGGCAACUUCCACAAGCAAUUCAUUUGCUCUUUUCCAUGAGGACUCAUCAGAACUGAAUAAGCAAACAACACCAUUAUAAAAGAAUGAAUAUAUGUCUGAUUUGAAAUGAGCAAAACCUAGGUUAUGAGCAGCACAGAAAUGCAAAAAGAAAAAGGGAAUGUCUUUCUCUGUAAAUACAUGUAGAUAGAUGUUUGCAGAUGCAUGCAAGGGAAAAAAGAAUGUCUUUCUACAUUCUCAAGGCUCCAAUUGAAGCACUAACAGGUACAUUUAUGCAAAAAUAUAAGAAGAAAAAUAAUGUAUGAUACCUGUAGUCCCUGAGGAGUAAGCAAAUGUAUUUCGAUACGUGUACAUUUCCUGAAAGAAGAUUGAACUAUAAAUAGACUGCCAAUGGAUCAAAAUGCACUUUCAACACAAAAUCCAAUUAAAUUUGAAGAUGGCACAAAACAAUUAGUUGAAAAUUGUACUCGUGACACCGGAAUGAAUCGCAUAACAAUUCUUUCACAGAGCUUUCGGCAACCAUAUAGCUCAAAAAUCAGAUAGCAGCAUACACUAAAUGGGAACAAUUUUUUUCUCAAUUACAUUAGUAUAAGUCCAAUGCAGGGAAAAAAAUGCACUUUCAAAAUGAAUUACAACUUAAUAACAACAACAAUCAACUAAAAUGUAAGCAAGAAUCAUAGACAAACAAUUUAUAAACCAAAUGAGAUGAAAAUUUCUUUAUUAAAUUAAUAGAAGGUCAGUUGACAGGAAAUAAAGAGAACAAACAAUAAUUGGAUGAAUCAAAACCCUAGAGCAAGAAAAUACAAUAAGAAGGAAGCAUCUGAAACAAGAAAAUGAAAUCACCAGCUCACUGUCUCCCGCGGCGGGCGCGAUGGCUACGGUUGAACGAGCUACAAUGACAACUGCUGUCGAUGAGGUGGCUGAAUCACGAUCAUUGCCGCGAACUAACUAGGACUCUGAAUCACGACCACGAUCUGCCCUACGAGCUAAUCAAAAAAAUUGAAUCGAUUGGCAGCGGUGGAUGGUGCGUGACUGAUGGGCUGACGAUAGUGAAAUUGACAGAGUGAGACGAUGAGACUGGAGAGGGAGAUGGUGAGACCGUGAGAGAGAGAGAGAGAGAGACCAACGAUGCAGAGAGUGAAAGUGAGCAUGAAAGAGAGAGAGACCGGAGAUGGAGAGAAUGAGAGUGAGCGUAAGAGACAGAGAGACCGAAGAUGGAGAGGAGAGUGAGCGGGUGAGAGAGAGGGGGGCGUGGCUGCUGCUGUGCUUGUAGAAUUAGAAAUUAGGUCAUGAUUUUUUUUUUAGCCGAUUAAGAUUUUUUUUAUAAAUAUUUUACAUAUAAUGACGGUUACAUCCAAAACCGUCAUUGUUAUUUUUUAUUUAAAUGACGGUUCUUUACAACCGUCAUUAAUAGUUUAAUACCUUAAUAAGACAUAUAAUGACAUAUUUUUAUAUAUAAUCGUAGUUAAAAAUAAGGUUAUAUUUUAUUUUGAUAUUUAAUGACAGUUAUAAAAUAGAACUGUUAUUAUAAAUAUUAAAUUUUUAAUGACAGUUUUUACACAAAAUCGUCAUUAAAAGUAACUAAAAGUAAAACUAUAUUUUAACUUGACACUUAAUGAUUGUUAUAUAAUAAAACCGUCGUUGUAAAUAUUACACAUUAAUGAAUAUUUUUAUAUAAAACCGUCAUUAAAAGUAAAGUUAUAUUUUACCUAGACAUUUAAUAAUUGUUAUAUAAUAAAAUGGUCAUAGUAAAUAUUAGAUAUUAUGACGGUUCAUACAAUAACGGUUAUCAAAUACUUUUAAUAACGGUUGUUAAGAAAAACCGUCAUAAUAUAUGGGUCAUUGUUUUACAUUUUUUAGUCGUGUUUUUACCCAAGGGUUUGGGGUUAAUUCACUACAAAAAAACAAGUAAUAGAUGACAAAUAUUUUGUGACAUAUUCGUAAAAAAUUGAUUUAUAUCAUAAAAAUAUGAUAAACUCAUGAUAUAAUUUCAGUUCUGAAUUAAUAAUGAUUUUGUGAUAAAAUUAUUAUCUAUCAAGAAUUCAUUUAUACAAAUUUAUUCCAUUAAGAAAUUAUGGUAAAAUAUGAUUGUGACCAUCUUUGACCAAAUAUUAAUAUAUUAUUUUAUUUAAAAACCAAAAUAAUGGCGUUUUAAAAUUUACUCAAACGGCGCAUUUUUAAAAAUAAAAAUAAAAAUCAAAGCGUAUAAAAAUUAAAAAACAAAAACAAAAUGAACACUUUCCAAACAUGGCUCCCCCUUAGAAAAUUUUUCAAUUUGCCCCUCUUUUCUCUAUAUAGCAAAAAACUUUCCCUCCUCUGAUUUCCUUCAAUCCUUAAGCCACAAUGACAAAAAAAUACCAAUUAGAUCAAUUCUCUUCGUGUUCAAUAUCCUACAAAACCCAAUUACUUCACUCUAUUCGUUUUUAGUUUCUCUAAUUAACCCUAUAUUACUGCUAUUAAUUGAAACCCUUAAUCGCCAUUUCCAUUCACUGAUUGCUUUAGUUUGUUGCAGAAAGUUCAGUACUCUCUUUCACUCGCUUGUAUUCGUUGUAUGUUUUAUUUGAGAUUGUGUAAAUUUUUGGUUUGGGGUUUUUAUCUAUGAUUUGGUUUGAUAUUUUAGUUUAUAUAUAUAUAUAUAUAUAUAUAUAUAUAUAUAUAUAUAUAGAUAAGAGCUGAGAGGACUUAUCUAAACAGUCACCAUGAUUCAAUUUGUUUGAUUAACCCUAAAUCGUUGCCCAUCAUUGAAACCCUUAAAUCACCAUUUUAGUUCAUCUUUUAACUUGAGUUCGUAGUUGUAAGUUCAGUCGUCCCUCUCUCUCUUAGUCACUUUUUUUCAUGUGUUAUAUAUAUGAGUUGGUUUAUCUUAUUUAGUUCUUUUUCUAUGGGUGUGGUAUUUUUCUAUGCUUAUUUUGUUUGGUACAAGUGUUUGCCUAGCAUACAUCCUCUUUCCUACAAAUAGUGUUUAUUUUGAAUAAGCUCAAUUUCUGGAAUGAAACAUUUGACAUUUGACAUCUUGUAUGCGAUAGUAACAUAUAUUAUUUUGGGACACGUUAGGAAGUAAAUAUAGUAAUGCCCUUUUGUUUUCUUCAUUUGAUUUGCUGGAUAUAAUGAUGACAUUGGAUUUUUUGUAGUAGCAUUCUGUUGACAAUAAAUUUGAUGUCAACUACCCAUGACAUCUAUUGCUAUGCUUAUCAAUAAACCUAUUAAGUAUACUUGGCAGUCGAUGGAACUAAUAUGUUAUUAAUUUACUUGUUCUAUCUUUCUAUAAAUGACCACAAGAUUGUUUGUAAAAUAGAAAAAAAAAAUCGAGUGUGAUUGUUUGUAUUUGUAUCUGAGUGAGUUAAAAGAAAAAGAAAAUGGAAGUGGAUUAUGAAUGGGAGGAACGUGUGAAAGUGUUUGUGAAAUCAUUAGAUGUAAGCGAUAAGGUAUCACUUUAAGCUUUAUUAAUAAUUAGCUUUUAGACAAUUAUAUAUUGAAGAAAGAAAAACUCAUAUGAUGUUUAACAUAUAUUUGUUGGUGAUCGUUGCAGCAUAUUGCUUGGGAAAAAACAAUUGUUGAUUUGAUCGCCGACGAUUUCCGAGGCCAGCUAAGUUCAUUGCUCUGUUUAAUUUUCUUUUCUUUUUUUAAAAAUAUUUUACCUAUUUUUCUUUCUUGAAAGCUUAAUUAAUUUUCGUAAGUUCAUUCUUAGGAUUUUCUCUUCUUCUUCAUUUUUUAAAAAUAUUUUACAUGUUUUGCUUUCUUAAAAGCUUAAUUAUAGAUCACUGUUGAGAGUUUGAUCUCCCUUGGACACACUAAAUCGAUCAUUAUGCCUUUGACAUACGAUGAGAAGAUCGCACCUAUAUUCAGUUAUCUAUAAAAGUCUUGUUAGUACAUUGAAUUAGCAUGUCAUUUGAAUUAUUAUUUCUAAUUGACAAAUUUCUGGUUGGAAUGGUUAACUGUUUUCUAAUUGUCAGGUUCAAUGUUAACAUAUUUAGGCUGUUGAUUAAUGAUUAAUAAUAUAUGUAGCCUAUUGAGUAAUGAUAAUCUCACAUACUUUGUGCCUUUUAUUCUCUUUUGCUAUUAUUAUUUCAAAUUUCAAGUUCCAGUCCCUAUUUCAUGCUUGAUGAAAUAUAUUUAUCUAAGAGCAUGAAAACUUCUUCACUUGGAAUUUUUUAUAGUUGGCCACUAACAUUUUACAAUCCAUCGCUUAUGGACUGAUAGCAAAACAUUUUACAAUUCUCUGAUGUUUCUCUUACUCUAAUAGUUGUUACUUUUAUUUUCCUUAAUUACAUUCUUAAAUCUAAUAAAUCUAAUCAAGUAAUUGAAGUCAAAUAAAUGAAGACAACUUACUGCUUAUGUAAGUUUAUUGGAAUCGAGUACAUAUUGCUCUCAGUAUGUGCAUCUACGAUUUUUCUUCCAUACUGUGUCCACGUUUUUAUUUCAAAUUAUAAUGUAUCUUUUUUUUAAAAUAAAUGUCACAUUAAUUGGGGUUUUAUUGCUUGAGGCACUUUUUUCUAGUAGCAUAUUAUUGGGUUUAGAUAAUUUGCUUUAUUGUAUUUCUAGGUUUCUUAUUUAGUUUAGGACUAGAAAUUAAGUUGCAUAUGAUAAUUUUGGUGUUGGAAUUCAACUACAGUUUUGCAGGAAAAUUAAUUGUUGGAUGGUUUUGCGUAGACUCAAGUGCCGUUGCAAUUGGAGUGCAUAUUUGUUGAAAAUUUGGCUGUGAGAUUGAUAGAAAGUGAUUCUACUUGCUGUUAGGCUGGAAUUUGAACGUACAAUGCUUAGACUUUGGAUUGUUUAUUGUAUUGUGAAUGGAUAUAUAAUUUGUUUAAUUGAUAUAUUUUAAAGCUAUAGUGAUACUAGUGGUUUGUACCUUUUAAUUUGUUAGAUAUUUGGUUGUACUUUGAAUUUUAUUAAUAGUACAUCUUAUAUUAAUUUCAUAUUUAAAAUUUUAAUUUCUGAAAAUAAAUUUGUAGAAUUUGGGAAUUUAUAAAAUAAAAAAUACAAUUUAAAUAAUAAUAAUAAUAAAAUUAGUAUUAAUUCAAUUCAAAAUAAUAAUAAUAAUAAAAUAUAAAAUAAUUACAAUAAUUUUAAUUGAAAUUAUAUCAAUUUUCUUGCCAAAAAAAUUUUAAAAAAAGUUAAAAAUUUGAAUAAUUUUGAAUUUCCUGGUAAAAUAUAAUGUGACAUACAUGAAUCACUAUCAUAAAUUCAUGAUGGAAAACAUUCUAUCAUAAAUUAAUGACAGUGACAUAGAUGACGGAUGAAUUGUCUGUUAUGUGCCCUCUUUUAUGAUAGUUAUUUUUCGUCAUUUAAUGCAUGUUUUCUUAUAGUUUAUUGAGUCAUUUGUAAGACUACCUGAACAUAAGAUAAAGAAAUUAGGAAAAAGGGACAUUGGAUGCAUAUUUUUUAGAUAUACUGAACAUAGUAAAACUUAUAGAUUUCUUGCAACAGAACCUAAUAGUAUUGUUGAGAUAAACGCUAUAGUGGAAUCUAGAGAUGCCAUAUUUUACGAAAAUAGAUUUUCCACUAUACUAAAAAGUAUUGACUCUCAAAAGGAUGAUAAAGCAAUAUAAAUUGGUCAAAAGCAUGCUACUAAUGAGCCAAAUCAAUUGAGAAUGAACAAAAGAAUAAAGACUGAAACAAUCAUUUCGACCAAAUUUUAUAGUCUAUUUAAUAGAAGGGAAAGAGACUCACGAUAUAAACAGACCAUGAUCAUACUUACUUUAGAGUUUGAUCCCCUCACUUAUAAAGAGACAAUGAAGUCUCAAAAUGCUGCCUUCCGUAAAGAGGCCAUAAAUGACAAAAUGGACUCUAUUAUGGGUAACAAGGCUUGGAAACUAGUUGGUUUACCCCUUGGCUCUAAUUCUAUAGGUUGUAAGUGGAUCAUCAAAAAGAAGAAGAAAAUUGAUGAAACAAUUAAAAGGUUUAAAGCAAGACUAGUGUUAAAAGGCUUCAUACAAAAAUAAGGCAUUAACUAUUUUGAUACACAUGCACCUAUUACAAGAAUUAUUACUAUUAGAGUCUUAAUUCUUUAGUUUUAAUUUAUCAUUUUGAAAUCCAUCAAAUGAAUGUAAAAACAACUUUCUUAAAUAGAGAAUUAGAUGAAGAAAUUUAUAUGAAACAACCAGAAAGCUUUUUUAUGCCAAGACAAGAACAUAAAGUUUAUAAACUAGUCAAGUUUUUAUAUUGCUUUAAACAAGCUCUAAAGUAGUGGCAUGAAAAGUUUGACAAAGUGAUUAUUUCUAAUGGAUUUAAUAUUCAUGAAUAUGAUAAAUGUGUAUAUAGUAGAUUCAAUAGAAAUAAAUGUAUGAUUAUUUGGUUAUAUAUAGAUGACAUGUUAGUUUUUGGUACCAAUAGUAAGAACAUUAAAGUCAUUAGAUCAUUAUUGUGAUCUAAUUUUGAUAUGAAAGACAUAGGGCUUGUUGAUUUAAUUUUGAGGAUUAAAAUUAUCAAAAAUGAUAAUGGCCUAGUGUUGAUCCAAUCACAUUAUAUUGAGAAAAUUUUAAAGAAAUUUGAUUAGUAUGAUUGUAAGCCUAUGUUAACAUCUUUUGAUUCAAACAUAAGAUUGUACCCUAACAUUAGAAGAGCAAUAACUCAAUUAGAAUAUGUACGUGUUAUUGGGUGUCUUAUGUAUGCUAUGAUUUGUACUAGGCCUAACAUUGCUUUCACUGUUAGAAAAAUGAGUAGAUAUACUAGUAAUCCAAGCCAAAUAUACUAGCAAGCAAUGUACAAAAUUCUAAAAUAUUUAAAACAUAUUAUAGAUUAUGGUUUAUACUAUACUAAAUGUCCUUCAGUUUUGAAAGGAUUUUCGAAUACUAGUUGGAUUACUGAUUAAGAUGAUCAUACAUCCACAAGUGGUUGGAUAUUUAAUCUCAGUGGAGGAGUUAUUUCAUAGAGUUCAAAGAAGAAAACUUGCAUAGCAGAUUCCACCAUGGCUGCAGAAUUUGUACCUUUGGCUUCAUAUUGCAAGGAAGUUGAAUAGUUAAUAAAUUUGUUUAUAGAAAUUCCUAUAUAGCCUAAAUCAAUGCCUUUUGUAUCCAUUCACUGUGAUAGUAAGGUAACUUUAUCAAAGGCAUACAACCAAAGUUAUAAUGGAAAGUCUAGGCAUUUGGGUCUAAGAUAUAGUUAUUUGAGUCAAUUGCUUAUUGAUGGAGUAAUCACAAUUGAUUUUGUGAGAUCAUGCCAAAAUUUAGCAGACCCCUUAACUAAAGGCCUUGCAAGGGACAUUGUGUUAAAAACUUCUAAUAGGAUGAGACUUAAGUCAAUUAAAAUCCUAGGUUUAACGAGCAAAGUGCAUCAUUUGUGUGAGAGCAAGCACUAGUAUUUUAAGAUGCAUCCUAAAGGUGAAUGCUUGGUACCUGUAACAUAUAGGAAAUGAUAAGUGAUAAAUCUAUAAAAUGAGAGUUAUCAUGACACUUUUAGACUUAAAUUAGUAAUACUUAGAGAGUAAAUGAUGUGCUUUUAUUGCAUUUUAGUUAUAUUUUGCAUGAACAACCAUUUUAGUUUAUUUUUAAUAAUUGAGUUGUUUUUAGAAUAAUUUGUGUUUAGAUUAUAUGCAUAAUUGUAUGUGACUGAAAGCUUAAGCUUUAAGGAAGGAACUUGGCUAUAGACGAAUUGAAACAAGGCUGGAACAGUGCAAAUGUCUUAGCGUUGCUGUAGAAAUCCUGGAGUAAUGACAGACUGAAUUUCGUGCAUAACAACUAAAAGAUUGCGAUCUAAAGUUUUCAAAAAUAGAAGAUACGCGCCACAUACUUUCAGUUGCCCUUAUUCUAAAUUAUAAAAGGAGCACGCAUAAAAAGAAAAAGAGAGGGCCGUCACUCAAGAAAAAUCACAGAGAAAAAACAAAAGAAAAACAGAAAAUAAAAGGGAUUUGAGGGCUGCAACAGAGGAAUCACAGUGAUCAAGGAGAAGAGAUCACAAGAUCAAGCGGACUUCAACUCUUUAUCUUUUUUCUUGUUUUCUAUUUGUUUAUGAGGAUGUAUUUGAUGGCUGAAACACUUUUAUUUAUUUUUCUAUCGCAAAUCAUGAAUUGAAUUUGAUUGUAGUUGAGUAAUAAACGAUAUUAAUAGAUAUUUGACUGACAUAUAUGUGUUGCAUUGUAUUUGCUAUAGCAUUUUGUCUUAAUUGUACUUGUUUCAAUUUCAUAUUUCGACUAACCAUCCAUUUUGUCGAUACUAGCUAAGAAAUAGCCUAAAAAAAGUCUAACUUAGUGGAUAAAAUUAAGAUAAUCCUUGGUUUUAGAUUGAGUUUCCCAAGUUGAGUAAAUCUCAAUUUAAAUGGGGUCAUACUUGAUCUAAAAUUAGUGAUGAACUAGACAUAGGGAUUCACCUCGUAGGGUAAAUGUAACCUAGAACGUUUAAUGUUACAUAUAAUGUUGGCAUAACAAUUAGUCAUUGUUAGUUUGCAUUAGGUAUAAAAUAUCCAAUAGGCGACAGCUGAGGAUGCAUGAGGAAUUCUACCUAGUGCUGUAGUAAAUGUUGUAGCAACGGUAUUGUAAUUGAAAAAUAGUCAAUGUCAUUAAGUGAGUUUAUUCAUUCGACUACUCCAUUCCUAUUGAUUAUAUCCUUGUGUUUGACGUGAGAAUUUUGUUUAAAGCACUUUAUUUAUUGCAUUUUUAUUUCAAUUACGUUAGUUAGUUUUAUUAGUUGUUUUAUUUUCUUUUAAAACAAAACUGCACUGUUAAGGUUGUUGUAGCACAUUUGAAAACACCAAUCCCUGUGGAGAUUAUCUGAAUACUCAUCAAUAUAUUAUUUAUUAUGUACACUUGCACAUUGACACUUGCACCUAUAGCAUUAGAAAUUACACACCAAUAAGCUAUUUAUCUUUUUAUAGACUCAUAAAUGUUUUAGUUAUAAGGACAAUUUAGAUAAGUCUACUAAAGUGAGUGUAGGAGAUGGUGUCGCUUUCUAUAUAACUUGGCUAGUUACUGAAGAGCUCAUGAAAACAAGAUAUAGAUACAAAAUCAAUCCAUGUGUCAGCUAAAGAAUUCUUGAGAAUUUGAAAAAUUAUGUGUGAGAUAUAUCCAAUUAGUCAAACAAGGUCGCUGGUUCAAAGCUCGUCUAACAUGCCACUUGAUUAACCUUAGUAUGUAGUUGCUAACUGAAGGUUUAAGUUCAAUAGAACAUUAUUCGUGUGAAGUAAUUUCUCAAAAUUUAUUUAUUUUGAAAAUUGUGGGGGAUUGUUGAAUAAUUUUCAAGAUAAAUGAUGUCUUGUCUUAAAAAUAUGUCCAAUUAAUUGUGCCUUAUAUAAGAGGUUUCUUUUCACUAAAAAAUACAUCCAUUAAUGGUGGCAUUUCAUUUGAAAUGGUGAUGGUUCAAUUUGAACGAUUGAUUAAGAUCAAAACUUGAUCCAAUGGCCCUGAAUGAAAUGACGUCAUGAAAGGUAACAAUUCAAAUGGAAGGGCAUAAGUAUAUCUAUAAAUAGAAGUCAUGUUUAAGCCAUUUAGACAUUGAAUUAAUAAUCCUACACCACUCUUUUCUCAGCCCUCUUUCCUAAAAUGAAUUUCAUCAUAUAACAUCUAUUUUUAUGCAUCAAAUAUCCAAUAUAUUGUUUACUCCAAGAACAAUAUAUUGAUUCUUGGUAGAUUUGCAACAUUCAAAAGUAUUCAUAUUUCUUUUUGUCAAUACACAAUGCAAGCAAAAAAAAAAAGUGUUUUAUUGUAUCCUUGAGUCAUAUUUGCUUAACCUAUGUUCAUCACUCAAUUGGUGGAGGAAAAUAACGUCUUAAAAAAGAAAAAUUUGUAACGUGCCUUGAAGUAGACAUUAUUAUUUUGCAAUUUACUUGUUACUAUUAUUUUCGUUGUACCUAUAGAGUUGUACAAGUAUUACUUUAUUAUAAUAAAGUUCUACCAUUAUUACUACAAUUCUCUACGUUUUUCAUUUUCCACGAAUAUAUACUUUAACAGACUGCAUUUGCAAUUGUAAUAACACCAGGACUCUGGCUACUCAAAAUAGCAAUAGCAACAACAUUGAUUAGUCCAAUAUUCACUUGGAAAUUAUGAGCCUAAUUGAAAAUACAAACAUGUCUCCUUUUGUUCAGGGCUUUGGUAAAGAGUGUGUUAUUUAGCUAGUUUGAUGUUACAAAACCAAUGUAGAGAGUGUCUUACAAGACUACUAUGAUUUAUGUGGCACAAGGGUGAGUGUGAUGUGGGCUUUGCCUUGUAGUCGAUAUAAACUAUGGAUAUGCUGAGUGGUGUUAAAGCCCUAGAAUCUAUUCUACAUUUACAGUUAUUGAGCAUGUUGGAUCAUAAACUUGUUUUUUAUCCAAGUCCAAAAAAACAUAAAGCCUAGCCUAUCUCAUAGAACUUUCUAAGUUAGGUGAGCUUAGGUGGUAAGUAAAGUUGGUGUGGUUAAUGUGGUUGAUGAAGUAGGUGAGUGGUAGGUUUUGAUGAAUGGUGAGAACUUGAAUGGUAGUUGAAUAAACGAAUGGUCGUGAUUGAUUUGAAGUAUAUAUAAAUACCCUUUUAUGUAUUUAGUUUAACCAUAAAGAGAAGUAACAAAAUCUUUAAGUUGAAGAGAGUGAAAAAAUAAGAGUUGUAUUAUUUGAAAAGUGUCGUUGAAUAAAUUAAAGAGUGUUUAUUUUCAGUAUUUAAUUUUCCAAAAUUCUCCAACAAAGUGGUAAAGAUGCUUUUGAAAUGAUUGCUAGAGCAACCUCCUCAAAGGAAACAUAGGUGAAGUUAGAGACCUCUUAUAAAGGAGCAAAACAAGUUAAGAAGGUUCGUCUUCAAACAUUACGAGGAGAAUUUGAGUCUUUACAUAUGAAGACAUUCGAGUAGAUUUCUGACUAUUUUACUCGGGUUGUGACUGUUUCUAAUGAAUUAAAAAGAAAUGGUAAUGAGUUAAAAGAAGUAAGGAUCAUUAGAAAGAUACUUCGAUUAAAAAGAAGGUUCUGACUAUUACGAGGAGAAUUUGAGUCUUUACAUAUAAAGACAUUCGAGUAGAUUUCUGACUAUUUUACUCGGGUUGUGACUGUUUCUAAUGAAUUAAAAAGAAAUGGUAAUGAGUUAAAAGAAGUAAGGAUCAUUAGAAAGAUACUUCGAUUUGUAGACUCGAAGUUUGAACGUAUUGUUGUGACAAUGGAGGAAACAAAAGAUUUGGAAACUAUAACAAUCGAGCAUCUUCAAGGAAGGUUGCAAGCUUAUGAAAAAAAAAAGAAAAAACAUAAAAUCGAAAAAAAAAACUUUUUAAGAUAUAAGUCAAUAAAAAAAAAGGCUCCGACAACAACAGAAGACAAUAUAUCCAAGGUAGAGGUAGAGGACGAGGUAGAGGUCGUGGUCAUAAACAAUGCUGGAAUUUCAAUAACAACAACUCCAAUUAUGGAAAAAGGAGAAAGCUCAACCAGAAGACAGUGUAGAGGCAAUCCAAGAUCGAGGUACGAUAAAUCUCAAGUACAGUACUAUAAUUGUCAAAAGUUUGGGCAUUAUGCUUCAGAAUGUAGAACUUCAAGUACCAAAACUGAUGAGAAAGUGAAUUACGUUGAAGAAAAGAAUGAUCAAGAUUAAACACUUUUACUAGCACGCAAUGACACUGGUGGAAGUCAAGAACAUAGAUGAUAUCUUGACACAAGUGCUAGCAAUCACAUGAGCGGAAAUUGAAGCAUGUUCAUGGAGCUAAAUGAAUUUGUGAAUGGCAAUAAUGUUUUUGGAGAUGAUUCAAAAGUAUCAAUGAAAAAUAGAGGUAACAUUCUUUUUGUGCAAAAAAUGAUAGCUGGUAUGCGAUUUCUAUUGCUAUGGCUGCCAAUAUGCAAGUGUACACAACAAGUAAUAUACUAAUGAGUAUUUAGAUCAUCUCCACAUGGAUUGAUGUUAUCAAAUUUGCAACAGCAAUCUUAACAGUGCAGUUUGUUCUAAAUGAAAAUAGACAAUUUAUAAAACUAAUAAACUAAUUAAAAUAAAAAAUGCAAUAAAUAAAAUGCAAGAAAGUAAAUUCUCACUUAAACACAAGGAUAACACCAAUGGGAAUUGAGUAGUUAAGUGAAUAAACUCACUUAAUAGCAUUGACUAUUUUUUAAUUACAGUACCAUUGAUAUUACAUCUACGACAACACUGGGUAGAAUCUCUCAUGCAUCUUCAGCUGUCACAUGUUGGAUAUCUUAUAUCUAAUGCAACCUAACAUUAAAUAUAGCAUUAAUCGAUUUAGGUUUCAUUUACCUUACAAGGUGAAUCUCUAUUUCGAGUUCAUCACUAAUUUUAGAUCAAGUAUGACCCUAUUCAAAUUGAGAUUUACUCAACUUGAGUAACUCAAUCUAAAACCAAAUAUUGUUUUAAUUAGAUCUACUAAGUCAUACUUUUUUAAGGCUCUUUCUUAGCUAGUAUCCCUAAAUGGGUGGUCAGCCGAAAUAGAGAAUUAAAUUAAGUAUGAUUAAGACAAAAUGCUAUAACAAAUACAGAGCAACACACAUAUGUCAGUUAAACAUCCAUUAAGAUCGUUUAUCACUCAACUACAAUCAAAUUUAGUUCAUGAUUUGCGAUAAAAUAAAUAAAUAAAUAAAAAAGGUUCAGCCAUCAAAUACAUCCCUAUGAAUAAAUAGAAAACAAGAGAAGAAAAAGAAGAACUGAUUUCCGAUUGAUCUAUGCACUUUCUCCUCUAGUACAACCUUUAAUAUAUCUCUUGAUUUCUGUUUUCUUGUUUUUUCUUUGCGGUGUAUCCCUUGGGUGACAGUUCUCACUCUUUUCUCUCAUGAGUUCUCCUUUUAUAAACUUUGAAUUAGGGCAACUGGAAGUCUAAGGCGUGUAUCUUCAAUUUUUAGAAACUCCAAAUCACAAUCUUUUAGUUAAUGCGCGUGAAAUCUUCUCUGUUAUUGCUCCAGGAUUGCUACAGCAACGGCUACUGCAUCUCACUUGUUUCAAUUCUUUUAUGGCCAAGUUCUUUCAUUGUCCCUGCAAGUCUGUUGCGGCAGUAUUCCUUCCUUAAAAUUUGACCUUCCGGUUACCUACAAUUAUGCAUAUAGUCUAAGCACACAAAUCAUUCUAAAUCAAACUAAAUUUAUUAAAAAUAAACUAAAAUGGAUGUUCAUGCAAAAUAUAACUAAAAUGCAAUAAAAACACAUCAUUUACCCUCUAAGUAUUACUGAUUUAAGUCUAAAACUAUCAUAAUAACUCUCAUUUCAUAGAGUUAUCAAUAGCAAUCAAUUAAUUUCAAAUGUUUAUUAUGUGCCCAGUAUGAAAAGUAAUAUCCCCAGUUUAGGCAAACUCUUGGAAAAAGGUGAUGACAUUCACUUAAAAAAUUAUAGCCUUUUCCUAAGAGAUAAUAGAGGAAACCUAAUUACGAAUGUGAAAAUGUCGAAGAAUAGAAUAUUUCCUUUAAAUAUUCUAAAUAAUAUUGCAAAGUAUCCCAAAGCUUGUCAUAAAGAUUCAUCUUGGAUUUGCCAUCUUUGAUAUGGGCAUCUCAACUUUAUAGGACUAAAGCCACUAUCAAAGAAGAACAUGGUAAAAGGCAUUCCUUCAAUUAAUCAUCCCAAUCAACUUUGUAAAGGAUAUUUACUCGACAAGCAAUUUAGGAAAAACUUUCCAAAGGAGUCAAACGCAAGGGCCCAGAAGCCACUUGAGCUUAUUCACACUGAUAUGUACGGACCAAUCAAGCCAAGUUCCUUUAGUAAAAGUAACUACUUCAUUUUCCUUAUUGAUGAUUUUUCACGAAAAACUUAAGUGUACUUUUUGAAGCAGAAGUCAAAAGUUUUUGAAGCUUUCAAGAGGAUCAAAUUGUAGUGGAGAAAGAAACUAGACAUUAGAUUAAAGCAGUGGAGGAUAAUUCACUUUCAAAGAAUUUUAACAAUUUUGUAAAGCAAAUGGAAUUUGACGUCCUUUGACUGUUCCAUAAUCUUUUUAACAAAAUGGCAUAAUAGAAAGAAAGAAUAGAACCAUCAUCGACAUAACAAGAAGCAUGCUCAAGAAUAAAAGACUACCUAAAGAGUUUUGGACUGAAGCUAUUGCAUGUGCAGUCUACUUAUCCAAACGAUCUUCAACAAGACAUAUGUGGGGAAAGAUGCCACAAGAAGCAUAGAAUGGAAGAAAGCCAGAUAUCUCCCACUUAAGAGUUUUUGGAAGUAUUGCCUAUGUACAUGUACCAAACGAGAGGAAAGUCAAGCUGGAUGACAAAAAUGAGAAGUUCAUCUUCAUUGGCUAUGACAACAAUUCUAAAGGAUACAAACUAUAUAAUCCAAAUAAUAGGAAGAUUGUGAUUAGCUAAGAUAUAAUUUUUUUUGAAGAGGGAUAAUGGGAUUUUGGCUCUCAUAUGGAUGACUUCAACUUCUUUCCUAUUGAAGAAAAUGAUCAUAUAUAGAUAAAACAAGUAGAAAAACAACUAGAGUCAUCUACUCUACCUAUCUCACCAGAAUCAACAAAAUGUGGAGAUUAACCACCAUCUUUCUUAAAUGAAAGAACCGAAUAAUGUACAAGAAGUUUUCAAAAUCUCUACAAGGUAACUGAGAGGCUUGAUAAUCUCACUUUCUUUUGUCUUUUGCUAAUGUGAACUAGUGAACUUUCAUGGAAGCUUUCAUAAAGNNNNNNNNNNNNNNNNNNNNNNNNNNNNNNNNNNNNNNNNNNNNNNNNNNNNNNNNNNNNNNNNNNNNNNNNNNNNNNNNNNNNNNNNNNNNNNNNNNNNNNNNNNNNNNNNNNNNNNNNNNNNNNNNNNNNNNNNNNNNNNNNNNNNNNNNNNNNNNNNNNNNNNNNNNNNNNNNNNNNNNNNNNNNNNNNNNNNNNNNNNNNNNNNNNNNNNNNNNNNNNNNNNNNNNNNNNNNNNNNNNNNNNNNNNNNNNNNNNNNNNNNNNNNNNNNNNNNNNNNNNNNNNNNNNNNNNNNNNNNNNNNNNNNNNNNNNNNNNNNNNNNNNNNNNNNNNNNNNNNNNNNNNNNNNNNNNNNNNNNNNNNNNNNNNNNNNNNNNNNNNNNNNNNNNNNNNNNNNNNNNNNNNNNNNNNNNNNNNNNNNNNNNNNNNNNNNNNNNNNNNNNNNNNNNNNNNNNNNNNNNNNNNNNNNNNNNNNNNNNNNNNNNNNNNNNNNNNNNNNNNNNNNNNNNNNNNNNNNNNNNNNNNNNNNNNNNNNNNNNNNNNNNNNNNNNNNNNNNNNNNNNNNNNNNNNNNNNNNNNNNNNNNNNNNNNNNNNNNNNNNNNNNNNNNNNNNNNNNNNNNNNNNNNNNNNNNNNNNNNNNNNNNNNNNNNNNNNNNNNNNNNNNNNNNNNNNNNNNNNNNNNNNNNNNNNNNNNNNNNNNNNNNNNNNNNNNNNNNNNNNNNNNNNNNNNNNNNNNNNNNNNNNNNNNNNNNNNNNNNNNNNNNNNNNNNNNNNNNNNNNNNNNNNNNNNNNNNNNNNNNNNNNNNNNNNNNNNNNNNNNNNNNNNNNNNNNNNNNNNNNNNNNNNNNNNNNNNNNNNNNNNNNNNNNNNNNNNNNNNNNNNNNNNNNNNNNNNNNNNNNNNNNNNNNNNNNNNNNNNNNNNNNNNNNNNNNNNNNNNNNNNNNNNNNNNNNNNNNNNNNNNNNNNNNNNNNNNNNNNNNNNNNNNNNNNNNNNNNNNNNNNNNNNNNNNNNNNNNNNNNNNNNNNNNNNNNNNNNNNNNNNNNNNNNNNNNNNNNNNNNNNNNNNNNNNNNNNNNNNNNNNNNNNNNNNNNNNNNNNNNNNNNNNNNNNNNNNNNNNNNNNNNNNNNNNNNNNNNNNNNNNNNNNNNNNNNNNNNNNNNNNNNNNNNNNNNNNNNNNNNNNNNNNNNNNNNNNNNNNNNNNNNNNNNNNNNNNNNNNNNNNNNNNNNACGUAUCAAGAGAAGUAACAAAAUCUCUAAUUUGUAGAGAGUGAAAAAAUAAGAGUUGUAAUAUUUGAGAAGUGUUUUUGAAGAAAUAAAAGAGAGUCUAUUUUAAAUAUUUGAUUUUCCAAAAUUCUCCGACAAAGCCAACUUGGUUUGCUGUGCUUUUAGGGAUAUUGAACAUGAAAAUGAUUUAAAAAAUUCAUGUUGUUUAUUAAAAUAAAUCAUUUCUCCCGUCAUAUUUCAAAAUCAGUCAAAACUACUUGUUAAAAAGAUUCCGUUUAGUUUCAAUUUUUUUUGUGGAUUUUACUAUGUUAUCACUAUAAGUAAACUUAUGAUGCACAAAGGUCAACAAUAAAUCAAUAAAAGGAAAAAAUUAAUCAUAAAUGUGAUUUUAAGGGUAAAAUUAAAAAAUAGACACAAAAAGAUAGAAAGUUCACGUAAUCAUUUUAAUGCCAAAGAGUUUUAAUGAGUUUUGAGAUGUAAGGAGAGAAAAAAUAAAUUCACUAGAAUAAUAGGAGGAUUUUGAUCAUUUUUCCACUGAUACACAGAAAAAUGAUACACACCACCUGUCCUGAAAUCGUUGAUGGCAACACAAAAGUUGAAGAUUAUUGAAGAUUAGUGAAUCCUUUACGAGUAUAUACAUAACUAUCCUUAGAUAUUUAUUCUGUUAAUUUGUUAAUAUUCAACUGAUUAUUUUUUAAUUCUAUUGUUAAGUGCUCGUUUUUCCUAUAUAUAGUUUUCAUAUUUGGGCUGCUGCUAGUGUAUAUCGACUAGACCGACACCAAUACUAGAAUUGUUUAUGAUCGAUGAAGUAAAAAGUAGUCUUUUUGUUAAUUUGGAAAUUGUGGUCGUUCCAUUCAAAUAAUCUUCUAAAUUUAAAGUUGGUUGAUGAACCAUAUAUAUAUCACAUAGAUUUGCUCAUAUAUAAUAUUAUAUAUAAUACACAGUACAUGGAACAAAAAUGUGUGGAUAAUCUAACGCGAAUGAUCUAACUCUAUGUCUCAAAAGUCAUUUUUUCCUUCCAAGUGGGAAAAUAUUGCAUGGUCUUGGAUAGACAUCCACCCUCUUUGUAGGUGUCAGGUGUGCAUGAGUCUAUUAUUUUAGCAAACUAGGGAAGGAUGACGGAUGAGGAGAAAAAGAUUAUUUAUGAAUUGACUUCUGUAAUAUUGAUAGGGUCACAAAUUUAAGGGAGUAAUGUUACGCAAACAAAGUCUGCAUCUCAACAAACACGACACCAUAUAAUUUAAAUCUAUCACAUGAUUAUGUGAAAUGAUAGUUAAUAAAUCAAAUAUUAUUAACAUACUAGAUGAUUUUAAAUGUCAUGUCAAUUCUAACUAUGCAAGUAAAAUAUUAAUUGUUUGAUGAGAAACGUUUAUGCAAAUAUAUAAAAGAUUUUCUACCUACUCAUAGUUUACGUUCCUCGACAAAGUGUUCAGAUCUUGCAUAUUAUUAUUAUUAUUAAUGGCAAAUUUAUUAAAAUAAAAUUAGAAGAGUUGUUCAUGGUCAAAUAUUCUUUUCGCAAGGAUAAGCUGGUCAUCAACUCCAAUUGUUUAGUAGAGAAGGUAAAAGAACGAAAGGCAGAGUUAUUGAAAACUGGAUAGGUCAUACAGGGAUAUUGACAUGGCUUGAAAGUAAUCUUCUUUCUUUUCUUUUGUUCUCUUGUUACGUUCACAUAAAUUGCUUAAUUGAUUGAUGAAAAAUUGAUGCUUUCCAGCGACUAAAGCUUUACUAGUCCCAGUGAAAAAUUUCAGCCAGUCAGUACAUCAAAUUUUCAUUUAUUGCGUGUUUUUGUGACCAAAAUAACUCUAACAAGUAAGAACCCCCCCCACCCCCCCCCCAAACAAAAAAAGUAAGAACCCUCUCAAUCAAAUUGUAAAUCAUUGUAAUUAAAAGUCUUCAAUUAAAAUUUUUUAAGUCCUAUGUUAUAUUCUCCUUACGAGAAAUUUUAGAAUACAUUAAAGAAAAUAUGAUUAAUUAAUAUUUGUAUGGCAUGUAUAGUUAGAAUUUAUAUAAUUACACUUUCAUAGUAGUUUCAAAAUAAAUUUAUAACGGUUAUAAUAUCAUUUUGGUUAUUACCUAAUUUGACAUGAAAUAUUAGAGAUAUUUCCAAAUUUCUCUCUCCUCAAAAUUUUUGUCAAGAAUUUUUCUAGCAGUUUUAAUUAUUUGACAGCCAUCUUAAAACAAUUUUUUUUCCUCNNNNNNNNNNNNNNNNNNNNNNNNNNNNNNNNNNNNNNNNNNNNNNNNNNNNNNNNNNNNNNNNNNNNNNNNNNNNNNNNNNNNNNNNNNNNNNNNNNNNUUGAGCGCUAAAAUUAAUCAUUGAUUUAUCCUCUUUCGUCUUACAUAACACACUUCCAUCGUCAUCAUAUCCAUCACCAAUAGCAAAAUUCAAUUAGAUUUUUUCUUUUUGCAGAAGUUGUCAUUAAUUAAUUUUCUAUUUAUUGCUUUUUUUUCAUGUUUAAUACCAUAAAUAUAUCUCUCUUGUUGAACGCUCUUUAGCAAGAAUAGCAUCUGAAACUGUAUUUUUGUUUUUUCUUUUGUUUUAGCUUUUUCUUCUGUGAGGAAUUUCGUCAAACAUGUAGCAGACACGAAAUACAUCUAAGUUCUUUUUAACUCAAACGUAAGUUAACACACAAAAAUCAAUCUUGAAGUCCACGCAAAAGUUGCAUAAGUGAAAUGGAUCAUUACAUUGAAGAAUUAGACAGAAAAAAAAAAAGGAAGAACUUGAAGAUGUAAAGAUGAAAUUUUGGGGCAAAUACCAUCAACAGCCAACUGAUUCCAGCAAAAAGAAGAAAGAUAAUGCACAGAAAACGUUGAAGGAGUUGAUGAAAAGCAAAAUGAAAAAAAGAAAAAGAAAUUAUGCGUUCGUCAAUUUGUUCGUGUUCGAUAGAUUACCAAAUACAAAAAAAUGGUAGCAAUACCCUUUAAUUGAAACUAAGUUUUAUUAGGCAAGAGAAAUUGAGAAAGAAAAAAAAAUGUUAAUCCUAAUCGUUGAUGGUAGAUGAUGGUAUGUGUAAGUGGAUCCUUACAAGUUAAGUUAUAACCCAUCUGAUUUCACCAAUAUACUUGAAGAUAUGCGUGGCAAUUUAAAACACGUUAGAUUAUUUGACUUUUGAACCAACGGUUAGUUGGGUUAAGGACAAAAAUUGUGGUACCAUACGAUAGUUGCAACAUAGGCGAUUCCGGUUCUGUUAUACUAGUUUUAGUUUAAAUAGAAAUGUUGGAUUUUUAAUUCGAAUUCAUGAUCCAGUUUGACUGCUUUUGGCGGGAAAGUUUGUUAAGCUGCAUGCUGGACUGGAGCGCACCAACGGAAGUUAGUUACGGCAGCUGCUGCUUUGACUUUUGGUUGACCUGAGCUGUUAUGUAGGCUGAUAAACAGAGCAGGUAUAGGAGCUUGUAGUUAAUGCAUUUCUCUGAGUUAGAAAGCACUUGAUGACUCAUUAGAAAUCUGGUUGUAAUCUCUUUAAAUAUGGGUCUUUUAUUCUAAAUGAAAAAGAGCUUGAGGCUGGCUUGUGGUGCGUAAAUUUUUGUGAUUGUUGUUGAUCAGUUCUCCCGUGUGUGCUCUGCCUUCUGCUUGCUAGCUGUGUUUGUUUCAAUUACUGAGGCAAAUCUUGGUUAUUUGUGUUUGCUCUUAUCAAGCGACAUCAACUGGUCAUCUACCAUUUGAUCUUGGGGCUUAAUAUAAUCUGUUUCACAUCAGAUUUUGCGUAACAAAAAGUAAUGAAGAGAUUAAUUAGAAUUAUAUGUGCGUACGUAUGGACAAAAUAUAUGUGUAAGGAGAAGGAUGGGAAAGGCUUAGUUGCUAAAUAAAAACAACAAUAAAUUAUGUAUAUUAUAUGGCUACAGUCAACCUGGAGCGAGGUUCAUAAGAGACUGCUUUUAUUACGUCAUGAUAUGAUAAUAAACCACUAGUGAAGAGGCCAUUUAUAGUAAAGCUCAUUAAUUCCUUCUCCUAAUUGCCAUUAAUGAACUUAUCCUGAAGAUCUUUCACUAUCUUUGGGUCCAACUGGAAUGCCUUGCCAAGGAAAUCGGGAUUGAUUGGAGGAUUGGCUCCGAAGACCGUGUCGGCUAUGGUAAUGACACCAGGGAACUGGCUGCUGAAACCGGCAAAGGCAACUGCACUUUUGUUUCCAAUGUUGACUUGGAAGUGAAUCAAACCAAUUGGAAACACAAAAACAUCUCCCUUGUUCAGAACUUUUGCGAUGAGUGUGUUAUUUAGUUGGUUCGAUGUCACAAAACCAACGUAAAGAGUUCCUUCCAGGACCACCAGGAUUUCAGUGGCACGGGGAUGAGUGUGAGGUGGAUUUUGGCCGUACGGCGCGUAGUCAAUACGGACUGCUGAUGUGCCAAGAGUGUUAAGUCCUGGAAUCUGCUCAACAUUUGCAUUUGUCACAUUAAAACCAAGUCGAUUUUCUGUGUUUCCAGGCUUGUCUAGCCCUGAUAAAAAGAAAUCUUCUGCUUUCGCAAGCUUGGG
rnacentral:lncRNA from 1 species